rnacentral:lncRNA from 1 species
UUCUCACACUCUCUCCCCCUUAAGAAAUUUCGUCCUCGAAAUUUUUACCUUCAUUUAAUUCAGACGAGUCCGGAACUGUUUGGGUGCCUAACGCAUAAGCUUUUGCGGGCCCACUAGUUCGGUUGCCUCUUUCAUUUGCUUGUUUUGUUUUAGCUCCCUCCAGUUGCGGAAUACUAUCUCCGCGCGACUGUCUCCUCGGACAGUUGCUAACUUGGUGCUCACCACUCCCGCAAAUCAAGCACUUCCGCCCUUUCCGCCAACAAUCGUUCCCGGUAUGAUUGGCCUUUUCGCAAUAGCCACAAGUCAAGUAGGAAGCCAUCUUUUGGCUUUCUGGAGAAGUCUCCCCAUGUCUGGUUUGGCUUCCUUUGAUAGACCUUUCAUCUCCCGCCCCUAAUGUCCAUGGCGGGUAGGACAAAAAGUUCACUUUCUGCACUUUAGAAGGUGCUAUUGAUUCACUAGGAGGUUCUUCAAUCACACUACCAACUGCACCUCUUUUCCGAGUUUGGGAGGCUUUUACUUGUGCCUUUGCAUUCUCGAUUCGUUGAGCCUUCUCAAGGGCCUCCGUAAAAGUAUUCACUUGCGCCGCGGCUAACGCCUCUUGGAUGUCCAAAUUCAGUCCCUGUAUAAACCGUCUUACUCUUCGCCGUUCAGUGGCUACUAGUUCAGAAGCAAACUUGGAUAAUCUUGUAAAUUUUGUUUCAUAUUCGGCCACACUUAACGUUCCCUGGCGUAACCCAAUAAACUCCUCCUCCCUCCUUUCUUGGACUAAAAGUGGGAGGUACUUCUAGUUAAAUUCUCUUAUGAAGUUCGCCCAUGUCCAGAUGAUCUGUUCUCUUUCCCACUUUGCUCUAAUUACGUUCCACCAUGAUCGGGCCGGUCCCUCAAAUUGAAAUACUGCAAAGUUCACUUGCCUUUGCUCAGUGUAGUUUAGGGAUGUGAAGAUAUUAACCAUGAUUUCUAUCCAUUGUUCAGCCACGUCCGGAUCGGGCCCUCCAAGGAAUUUUGGCGGAGCAAACUUCUGGAACCUUUCAGGAGCCUUAUCCUCGCCCAUCUCAGGGUUCCGAUUUUGGUUUACGGGUAUUUGGCCUUGUUGAUCCACCAGUCUUGCCAAGAUAUCCGUCAUCUGUUGCAUUGCCGUUGCCAUUUGGUCUCCAGUCGCAGCUCUUGAUCCCUGCCCUUGCUCGGCUGACGUUUCCCUUUCUCCUCUUGAUUCCGGGGUCCGCUCAGUUCCCCGACCUCAACCACGUCCACGAUUACGUCUCCCGUCCAUAGAUAUGUUUUUCCCUCUCUCUUUUCUUUUCUUUUCCCCAAAAGGUAAUUUAGUGAAUAAACACAGUAAAUUGACUAAGCACCAAUUCCAACAUACCAAAUACACAAGUAAACAUAUACGCACAUAACACACCAUAUCAAGGAGGCAGAUAAGCAAAUACACAAAUACAUAUCAAGUUUGACAGAUAAUCAUGUACACAACCACAUCUAUUCACAUGCUAACAUCAUGUAGUAGCCAUAUACGGGUGCAUUAAAAGAAAAGGGAUACGUCGUCCCACACCCAGAUAAAAGAACCCCGUCCGGUCUCUCACGUCACUUUCUAUCCAACUAGAUGUCCAUUGACCUCUUGAAAUCAUUCUGGUCAAACAAUGCCUAUUCAGGUUCCCAAAAUGCGCGUCUCAAAUACUUAACACCGCCUCAACUCUAGCGUACUCGGGCACAAGAAUCCGAAAGAUGACAAUUCACAUCUCGAGCUGGCCAGUCCCAAGAGUAAACUAUCUACAAUCGAAAUUCCUACCAGACGUACCUAUCUAUACUCAUCAAAUACCACAAGAAAAAUUAAGACCUAUCACAUUCGCAAUUCAGAGCUUAGGCUUGAACAAGCACUUAGUCCUUCAUACCUAUUCACCACUCAGUCCAGGCUCACUCCGCGCAGAGACCACGCGAAGCAGGCUCUGAUACCACCUGUGACAGCCCCACCUCCCCCUAAGGCGAACCAAAGGGUUCAGUGGACCGCCUGCCCAGCUCUCGCCGGGACUCAGUCGUUCCCUCAAACAAAUCAAAAAUAGAACUACUAGAAAGAGCAAAACUAGGAUCCAAAAACUUAAAACAAAACUUAUAUACAUUGCUAUCUCAGAAAGAAGUACAACCGUCGAGUAUACAAAAGUUCUCCAGUCACCAUACAACCAGCCCGUGCCAAGCAUUAGGGCGAGAACCAUAACAAAACCAAAAAAAACACUAGACCCAGCUAGUCUAUACAGAGCUCUCGUCCAUGCUCGCCUUCCCCUGUUAAGGAAAACAAAACUAAAGGGAUGAGCUAAAAGCUCAGUGAGGUUCCGAACAUAGAAUCAAGUCAUAAAUCAAUCGAUAAGUCAAGAAACAGUUACAACAUUUACAAUAAACCAUACAUGAAAAGGAUACGUUCGUUCGUUCAUUCGUUCGUUCUCCUGUCAUUCCCCUUUCCUUCAUUCAUUUGACAAUGCAUUUUUCGUUUAUAGAUAAAACCCUCGUUCGUUCGUUCGUUCGUUCAUUUCAUUCACCCUCUCCUGGACAUUGGCCAGGCUCCUCCAACCUCCACCAACCUACAAGGUAAUACUCGAAUAUACCAUACGUUCACCCAGGUCACCAAAUCGCCCGACCGAGUCCGCUUCUGGCUCGAGUCGAUCAGUAACAAGGGGCAGGGCCCAGUUCAGCCAAAAGGCUUACAUUCAUGCACAAGUAACGUUCCAAUUGUUCAAUCUUUGAAAAUUUCACAUUUAUUUAGGUCGAGUGCGAUAAAGUACACACUCGCCUAAAAAAACUCGUUUUGGAAAUCAAUAAAGGCACUUAACACGUUAUCAAACAAUAAUACAAGUUAUGAAGUCAAGAAAAUACAACAAACCAGGAACACUCACCUAAUUAUGCAAAAUAACAUCCAAAAUGUCCUACCGGAUCUUACCCUUGGUCGCCUAGAAAACCUAAGAUGCAACGAGAAAGAAUAUUACAAGUCAUCUAGCAAAACAAGUAAGUGACAUCCAAAGAAAACUGGCAAAUGAUAAGUAAAACAUAUAAAGACGCCUUUAUAGUGAAAAGGGGAUAUUUGGAUCGGAGGACGGAAAUAACUAGGGAUUCAUAACCAAACGCAAAACUAACUUAAACGGGUUAUAAAAUGUCCGGCGGAAAACACUUGGACCAAAGACAACUCGGACUCCAACGAGAUAGUCUAAAAAUAUUGUUUUCGGAAUCGUUUAGAUAGUUCAGAAUCAACUCAUACCCAAGCAGCUAGGAUAGACUAAACGUCAUGAUAAAAAGAAUAGUGUGAAAAGGAGGACAAUACUACCUUACGUUCACACUUAAAACCCCACUUAAAAGUGGUUCACUUGUGGCCGAGAAAACCCUAAAUCAUACCUCUAUAUUUUGGGAAGGAGUAAGUAGCAUUUGAAGUUUUAAACUAAAGAGGUAUCAUGUUUUAAAAAUGGAAAAUCGGUCAUGGUAUUGGCCAAACAAAAGUAUACAAGUUCAAAUCGAAACUUAGCCCUCGAGCAAAAAUUUGGGCAGCACGCCCUUUGUAUUUACCUAUUUUCCAGCCAUUUAUGGCCUCAUUAUUUUCCUCAUUCAAACCCAAAGGUACACACACAAAAAUCUAAGUUCAAUAGCGGUUCAAUAGGCUCAAGACAAUACAAGGACAAAAUCAAGCUAAGAACAAGUGCGGAAAUGAAGAUUAGUGUGGAAAACAAAAGACAGUUUUAACGUUACGAAGCGGAACCGACAUAACAGGAGCUACACUAAUCGGAUUGAGGUGUAAUUUGCACCGUUUCGAAGCUAAGAUAAAGGGAUACAAUGUUGAAGAAGGCCAUUCAGUCCAUUUUGCAAUGUAUCUAGGUCAAAUUUACCAAAACAAACCCCAUAUUUCCAGUUCGCAGUUUACUGUGGCAGUCCUGAUUCAUUCAGUCAUAUCUCAGCAUCUACAACUCCAAUUCAGGUAAUUCCAAAGCCAUUUGAAAGAUAAGAUACAAGGCUAUAAUUCUUAAGAAGACAUAAUCAACCAAUUCGGUAAUAUUCCUGGUCAAACUAACCGCUUACAGAGGCUGAUUUUCAUUUUCGGACAGAAACAGGGCAGUAGGGGUAUUUCGGUCUUUUCACAGGCUACGUUGCUCUGAUUGAGCUGAAACUUUGUAGGCCACUACAAAACAUCAUUCUAUACAACUUGCAUGUUUUGUGCUAAGGCCAAAUCGGCCUCUAACUAGGUGUAACAGUACCAGGCAGAAUUGGGAAAAAAUGAAACCCUAAUCUGGAAUUCAUGCAUUCAAGUGCUAAUCUUCCACAAAACAACAUCUAAAACAACUAAAAAUCACUAAUAACCAAUUAAUUGAAGUAAAGAGGAUGUUCUUGGUAAAAUACCUUAAAACCACAAGAAAGGUAGGAGCUUAGGUUUUGUCCUCCAAAAAUCCUUCCAUUCAAGUUCCUAAUCUUCCUUAACUAGCACUUUGUAUGGAGUAAUUUGAGUUUCCAAUGGUUGGAACUUAAGAUUUGGCUUGGAUUUGAAGUUGAAGAUGAAACUUUUCCUCUCUUUCUUUCUCUCAAGUGUUCAACCAAGAAGGAAGAAGAAAUGGGAUAUUUUGGGUCAAAUUUUGGUAUUUAGUAAAGGUAAGAAAGUUAAGUCAAAGUCCAACUCCAAUCGGGUCGCGACACCUAGCACCUUUUAAUGUUAUUCUCAUCCUCUUGUCUCCCAAUACAAAAUUAAUCUAACUAACCUCCAAGUAUCUCCUAACUCCUGGUGAAAUAAUAAUACUUAGCACAAAAAUCACUUAGUCUCCAAAAUUUUAUCGCGCUAGCGGGUCCCACGUCUAUAAUGCACUUCCAAUAUAACGUACACUAACUUGUACCAAGAAAAUGACUUGAAAACUAUUUUCACUUAUAAAAAUGUAUAAAACUUUAAUAUUUUAAAGGACAGUAUAAAAAUGUAGGCAAAAAUAAAAUAAUGCCUAGAAAAUGUGAAAAUUUUCAGGUUCUCACACUAUCUAAACGGUACAGGCUUGUCAUCAACCCUUUUUUUUUUGGUUAAAUAGGUCGCUCAAUUCCUUAAAAUGAGCCUUUUGAAUCAUAUCGUCCAAUUAAGCCAAUAAACAAGUCGAAAAAAAGCAUAUUUGACCUGCUAUUAUAGGUUUUCAAAGGUUUUCAAGAAAAAAAAAAGAGGCUUUGAAUUCAGGUUAUUUCCAGUUGAUUUAGAAGAGAGUGACCCUAAGUGCCUAUCUUAAGGAUUAUUUCUAGUGUCAAAUAGCCCCUAAAUUAUUGCCUUUGCACGGUUUUGUCCCCUCAAUAAUAAAUUGUCACAAAUAAGCCCUUGAACAAAAAAAACAUGCUUAGUUUAAGGACUUCCAUUAAUUUUGGUCAUUAGAGGUGACAAAAUUAGGGGCAAACUGGCAAACAAAAAAUCAACCCACGAAAACAGCCUAAAAGGCCUUGUUGACUAAUUAUUUUAUCAAAUUAGAGCUAGAGAAGAUGGAAGAUGAAAGAUGAAAGAAGAGUAAAAAACAUUAAAUUCCAUGUUAUUAGUUGACUUAAUAUAGUAGGUUUUUAGUCAAAUUGUGGGUUGGUUUUUCAAUUUGAUUGGUUUUGUUCCUAAUUCCGUUAUAUUUAAUGCCCAAAAUUGACAGAAAUUCUCAAACUAAGCAUUUUUUUUGUAUUUUGUGACAAUUUAUAAUUGAGAUGUCAAAACUGUGCAAAGUGAAUGGUUUAGGGCGUGUCGAAAAGUUUCCUCUUUAUUUUCUGAUUAGCAAUCAAAGCAAAGUUUACUCUUAGAUGAAGCCAAUCAAGAUGCCUGCCAAGCUUGAGAAAUUCGGUACUGUUUUCCUUACAGGCUCUUGGUAAAGCCCAAAAAUUUCCACCAUAAAACUCUAGGAGUUAAAUUUCAUGAAAUCAAUGUAUUAGGGAAGACAAUUUACACACGUAAGAAUAUAUGGGGGAAAAGGGAAUAAUAUCAACAAUAAUAUAUCAAUCAAGCACCAUAAUAACAAAGCUAUCAAAUUUCACUCUUUAUUCUUCUCACCUGACGACAAUAAUAAGCGUAAUAAGACUUCCUACUUAUAGACUAGAUCACUUGAUAAACAAGUCUUGAUAACCAUAAUAAAUUGCCUUAUGAAAUACCAAUUUCUAAAUAAUAAAACUAUCAUAAUUUGACUCUAAUAAACUAUUAAAAACUUGACUUGACUAUAAUAUUCUACUAAACAAUAACAUAGAAGUUUUUUGGCUUAAUAUGCCAAUAUUGCCUCUUUUAAGUCAAACUGUCCUAUGAAUUAGGUUCAUUGCAAUCACAGAUAAUAAUAUACUUUGUAAAAUUGGGCAAUAACAGUUUGUACUGGUUCUUCAUCUUCAAACACUUUCCUCAUUGUAACAAUCUAGGCACUUGGAUAGACUUUUCGUUGCAUAAUUUGAUGUCAAUUCAGUUCAUAAUUUUAGUAAUCACAAUUUAAUAGAUAGGAUUUUUCUUCUAUUGUCACACUAACAAUCAAUCUAACAAUUCCCCGAACCAAUCUUAUGAUCCAAUCUUCACUGAUUGAAUUAUCUAGAACCAACCUAGUGGCCUUACUCGAUCAACUAACUUCUUUGUAGCAACUUUUAGGCUCUAUUUCUAAUAGCAGAAAUUAUUUUAGACUAAUCUCGUAUUGGAGAUAAUUCUUUACUGUUCAAAGGCACCCCAAGAUCAAUUUUUUGAACUUAGUGAUCUGAUACUAGAUAUUUGCAUAAAAAUUGCGUGGAAGGAUUUUCUGCCCACCUAAAAUUUUAACUAAUGAAUGCUAUAAGUCCUCAAAAUUGACCAAAAUAAGGCAAAUUGUCAAAUAUAGCUCUAAGUUUCGUCAGCAUCAUGUUUGAAACUUCAGUGGACUGAAAUUGAUUUACAACUAGAUAUUAGCAAAAUAUGAGAUCCAAAUUAGGAAAAUAUAUAUUAGGAAAACACAAGCAAGUUCGAAAUGAAGUGACUUACUUUUAGAGAAGUUAUAAUCAACUUAUUUGGUAUCAAGUUUUUUUUUCAACAAAAUUAUAGUUAGUUUGGACGAAUGAUCUUGUUCUCCUUUAACUUUUACCAAUUUUCCUAUUUAUCCAUACUCGUAGAAUGGAGAAAUUGACUAAUUUGGGAAUGGCCAAACUAAACAUUAAACUAGAUCUUAGUGAAAAACAUGAAAUUUUGUCUCAAUUGGUAUUGCACUUAGUGACCAAUUAAAACCCAAUCCAAAAGUUUGAAUACCUAAUGGACACUUUUAAAUUAGUCAACUAUUAAAUAAUUAUCCAAAACUGCUAAAUAGGUAUAGUCUUCCCUAAUUUUAAUGUUAAACACUAAAUCAAACCUCAGUGGGGGAAGUAAAGUGAAAAUUGCCUACUUAGACUUUUCUUGAAGGGAUCGCUUAGAAUCAAAUUUAUAAGAUGAAUAAUGUAAUGGACAACUUUUAAAAGUUGAGGGAUCAAGUAAGUAAAAGUCAUCAACUAUAGGACUCAUUCACCUAAUUAGUUUGGGAGUUGUUUGAGUCAAGUCUUCGCGGUUAACAAGAUGAAGAAAAUUCAGCUAAGUUUUGUGGUAAUCAAACGACUGCAAAAAGAGAGGUAGAACUUACCAAUUUUAAAUUAAUGCAUGAAGUUGAAACCUGUCGAAACAUUUUCUCAACCUCCUCCAGCAAGAAAGUACACGAGGACAAUGGAUCGGACUUUCUUGUAUUGUCUUGUAGCGUGAUGAUACAAGUGUUGGACCUUGAAUUUUAUCAGGGCGAAUCGCAACUGGACAAGCAGUAAGUUGUGCCUAAUUGGGGAUACCUUUAUGGUAGGAACCUUUCUACCAUAGGCAGCUCCUCAAAGCAUGACACGUGUAUUUGUAAAAUAGGAGCUCACGGACCGUUAUGUUGCAAUGGUAACACGCAUGGAGAUAAACCAAACAAGACAUGUCCGGAUGCAGCCUUUUUUCCCCUUCAAUUCUUCCGUUCACUGUGCAUUGUUUCCCCACUGCUUUAUUACAUUUAAAAAAUUAUGAAACUAUAAUUUUCUGCACCUAAUAUACCAAACAAUUUAAUAAAAUUAAUAACAACAUACCAACAAUAUAUACCCAUGACAUAAAUAUACUAAGCAAUUAUAAAAAUUAUUAGGAUUAUAUAGUUACUUUAGAAGUUGCUCCCAAAGACCGUGCAACUAAAUUUUUCAUUCAAACUAACGAUAGUACCAAAACAAAGACUAAUUAAUGAAAAUACGAUCUCGAAAAAUUUUUAAUUCACAGUCACAAUAUGUGAAUUCGUGAUAAAUAUAAAAAAGUAUGGUACUUUGAUCAUAUAAUGAAGGAAAGCCAUAAAGAGCAGGCCAUUUACGGGAAAAAUUUUCAUUAAUAAAAAUACCAACUCUUCACGGCUUUCUUAUCAGUCCUCCAACGUAUGAGCAAAGUGCCAAUAAUUAAAUUAGUAAUUUUUUUGAUUUAUACAUAAUUAAAUUUUUUUUUUUUUUGCAUUUCCACAAAAAAUAAAUGAAAAUUUUUUAUCAAAAAGCACAAAAGUCAAAAUGAUUGGUCUAAAAGGGAAAGGAAUAGCAGAUAUGUACAGUACUUGUAUUUCAUGUUCGAAAUGCUACAGUGCUGUUUUUGAAAAACACCCUAAAAAACAUCUAAUUCAAACGGAACCAAUCUUCAUUAUUUAAAGGAAAAAUCAUUCAAAACGUCCAUCACAUUUUAGAAGAUGACUUUUUUUGUCCCUCACUUUUAAAAGUGUAAUUUUACGUCCCUUACAAAUUCACAUUGACCAAAUUUGGUCCCUAUCUAGGUUUCCGACUAGUUUUUGUCGGAAUCCACCACGUGACUUACAUGUGAUCAUUUUUUAAGGGCAAAAUUAUCAAAUCAAAUUUUUACAUAAUCUGAUUCAUAGUCCCUCACAUUUCACAAAAUGAAUUUUGUUGUCCCUUACAUUUUACAAAAUGAGUUGCUUCGUUCCUCACAUUUCAAAAAAUGAAUUUUUCCAUCCCUCAUAUUUUUUAAAAUGAAUUUUUUCAUCCCUCAUUGAUCAUGUAUACGAAUAGUUUUUUUUCUAUAAACCCACGUAUAUGUCUAUUUGAUUUUACCUGAACAGUAUGAAUAACAUGUAAUUUAUCUCUAUUAGAUUUCAUCUAAACAUGCUAAUCGUAGUUAUACACAUGCUAUUCAAUAGAUAUAUAUAGGGGUUUUAAACUAAUAAUUUUGUUUGAAACCCAUGUAUAUAUUUAUAUGAUUUCACCAUUUGAACUUAUUCAAUAUUUGUGACAUUUCUCUUUUGGUAAUAAUUUAUUUAUUGAGUUGUAUAAUAAGGUCAUCUAAUUAAUGGGUCCUAACUCGAAUUCUAUAAUUGUACUAACAAAUUUCAGUUUAAAUCUGAAAUUUCUACUCGACACUUUUAAGAACAACAGUUGAAUUACUUGCCUUGUGAUUGUGUUAAAAUUUGAAAGUGAUAAUCACUUAUUUCUUUUUGUCAUACUUUUCUUUUGUUUACUUUUUCUAUCCAAAUUUAAUUCGAUAUAAACACUCGAUAAUAUUUAGGAUUAAAUGUCUUCUUUAUUUUCAAAUUUCGAGUAAAAGAAAAUGAAUAUAAGUGAAAAACUAACAAUUUUUUUAAAUUCAUGUAUAUAUCUAUUUGAUUUCACUUGAGCAAUACAAAUAGUGUGUAAUAUAUCUCUAUUUGAUUUCACAUGCUAUUCGUACUGUUCAGGUGAAAUCAAAUAAAUAUAUACAUGGAUUUAAAAAAAAUUAUUCACAUACAUGAUCAAUAAAAGAUGAAAAAAUUCAUUUUGAAAAAUGUGAAGAACGAAAAAAUUUAUUUUAUGAAAUGUGAGGGAUUAUGAAUCGAAUUAUAUAAAAUUUGAUUUUACAAAUUUGCCCUUAAAAUAUAAUCAUGUGCAAGGCACGUGGUGAAUUCCAAUCAAAAACCAGUCGGAAACCUAAGUAGGGAUCAAAUUUGACCAAUGUGAAUUUGUAAGGCACGUAAAAUUACAUUUUUAAAAGCGAGGGACGAAAAAAGUUAUUUUGUAAAAUGUGAGGGACGUUUUGAACGAUUUUCCCUUAUUUAAAAUACCAAAUCUGUGAAUGUGUUUUAACUGUUAUCCAUUGGUUUCCUAAAGUAUCAUUUUUCCAUCAAAUACCAGCUCUUUAACAUCCAUUUUUUCAUAAAUAAAUUUAUUUAUCGGAUAAAAUAAAAAUAUACCCGUUUUUCAAUAAAUAACUAUUUCCAAAAAAUAGCUGGUGUUUUAUUGAAAAACGGGUUUAUUUUUAUUUUAUCCGAUAAAUAAAUUUAUUUAUGGAAAAAUGGGUACUCUGUUCUUAUAAUAGAAAAAAGUUAUAAAGAGCUAGCGUUUUAUGGAAAAAUGGGUACUCUGUUCUUAUAAUAGAGAAAAGCCAUAAAGAGCUGGUGUUUUUUGAAAAACGGAUUUAUUUUUAUUUUAUCCGAUAAAUAAAUUUGUUUAUGAAAAAAUGGGUGUUAAAGAGUUAAUAUUUGAUAAAAAAAGAAUACCAGUGGAUAACAGUUAAAAUACAUUCACAGAUUUGGUAUUUUAAAUAAUGAAGACUGUGAUUUAAAAUACCAAAUCUGUGAAUGUGUUUUAACUGUUAUCCAUUGGUAUCCUAAAGUAUCAUUUUUCCAUCAAAUACCAGCUCUUUAACACCCAUUUUUCCAUAAACAAAUUUAUUUAUCGGAUAAAAUGAAAAUAUACUUGUUUUCCAAUAAAACACCAGCUCUUUAUGGCUUUCCUCUAUUAUAAGAACAGAGUACCAUUUUUUCCAUAAAACACCAGCUCUUUAUGCCUUUUCUCUAUUAUAAGAACAGAGUACCCAUUUUUUCAUAAACAAAUUUAUUUAUCGGAUAAAAUAAAAAUAAACCCGUUUUUCAAUAAAACACCAGUUAUUUCUUGGAAAUAGCUAUUUAUUGGAAAACAGGUAUAUUUUUAUUUUAUCCGAUAAAUAAAUUUGUUUAUGGAAAAAUGGGUGUUAAAGAGCUGGUAUUUGAUGGGAAAAUGAUACUUUAGGAUAUCAAUGGAUAACAGUUAAAACACAUUCACAGAUUUGGUAUUUUAAAUAAUGAAAAUUGGUUUCGUUUGAAUUAGAUGUUUUUGGGGGUGUUUUUCAAAAAUAGCACUGUAGCAUUUCGAAUGUGAAAUACAAGUACUGUACAUAUCUGUUAUUCUUUUCCCUUUUAGACCAAUCAAUUUGACUUUUGUGCUUUCUGAUACAUAAUUAAAAUUUUUUUUUGUGAAAAUGCAAAAAACAAAAUUUAAUUAUGUAUAAAUCGAAAAAAUUACUAAUUUAAUUAUUGGCACUUUGCUCAUACGUUGGAGGACUGAUAAGAAAGCCGUGAAGAGUUGGUAUUUUUAUUAAUGAAACUUUUCCCAUAAAUUGCCUGCUCUUUAUGGCUUUCCUUCAUUAUAUGAUCAAAGUGCCAUACUUUUUUGUAUUUAUCACGAAUUCACAUAUUGUGACUGUGAAUUAAAAAUUUUUCGAGAUCGUAUUUUCGUUAAUUAGUCUUUUUUUUUCGUACUAUCGUUAGUUUGAAUGAAAAAUUUAGUUGCACGGUAUUUGGGAGCAACUUCUUAAGUAACUUGUUUGGAUAGGGUAUUAUUUGAAAUAUUAUUUGGAAUAAAUAUUGUUGCACUUUUUGUGAUGUGAUGUAUGUGAGAUAAAAAGGUGGUUGGGAAUAUAAAAAGGUGGGUUGAAAAAUGUGUUUAUGAUGCAAGCGAAAUAUUAUUUGGGAUAAAUUCACUAUCCAAACAAACCAAUAUAAUCCUAAAUAUUUUUAUAAUUGCUUAGUAUAUUUAUGUCAUGGGUAUAUAUUGUUGGUAUGUUAUUAUUAAUUUUAUUAGAAAAUUAUAGUUUCACAAUUUUUUAAAUGUAAUAAAGCAGUGGGGAAACAAUGCACAGUGAACGGAGGAAUUGGAGGGGAAAAAAGGCUGCAUCCGUAUACGUUUUGUUUGGUUUAUCUCCACGGGUGUUACCACUGCAACAUAACGGUCCGUGAGUUUCUCAUUUUACAAAUACACGUGUCAUGCUCUGAGGGGCUGCCUACGGUAGGAAUGGUCAAAGGCUUCCUACCAUAAAGGUUUCCCCUAAUUGGUUGCAUUCACUUUUCAUCAUCACUUUUGAUAACAUUAUCCAAGUCUGACACAGGGUCUGAUGCUGUUCUUUUGACGGCAUUAUGGAAUAUUACAUAGGGAAGAAUUCUUCAGGUGACCGUUAGAGAGCAGCCAUGUUUGAUAUCUUUUUCUACUAAUUUGUUGCGGGAUUAUAGAGAACGUUUGCAUGAUUCAGCUGUCCACAAUGGACCCCUUUAGCCCUUCUGGAAUGAGCUCAUUUGAAUUGCUAUUUUUUAAAAUUUUUAUAAAAAGAUAUAUUAUAAUAUUUUGAUAAAUAUAUAAAGUAAAACUGUGAUAGAGAAAUAUGUUGCAAUAUAUGUUGGCAUGUUAAAAGAAAUUUAAUAAUUGACGAAUUUUUUAAUUGUCAAUUAUUUGCAAAAAUAUUUUAGUUGCAUCAUAAACAUGUUUAAUUGAGAGAAAAUGCUUCAAUAAUGAUAGUUAUGACUAUGAAACAGUUUUUAAUUGAUAUAAUAGGUUAUCACACUUUUAGCGACUAUUCGAUUACCUGUUAGACUAAUUCACCAAAAUAGGAUAACACAUAAAAGUAAGGAAGUAAAUUUCUAAUCUAAAAUAGUAAGUCAAUAUAGUAAAUUAGUAACUUUUAUGCCUCAAAAGGUAAAUUAGAAUAAUUAUGAAACUUACUUUUUAAAGAAUUAAAUUACUACUUUAUAUCACAAGCUUACGCUUCAGAUAGUAAGUCAAUGUAGUAAAUUAGUAACUUUUAUGCAUCAAAAAGUAAAUUAGAAUAAUUAUGAAAUUUACUUUUUAAAGAAUUAAAUUACGACUUUAUAUCACAAGCUUACUUGUUAGAGAGUAAGUCUAGUUCAAGUAAUAGUAAGUUUGUAUACAUAAAUAGUAAUUCUUAUUGAUAACUUAGUAAAUUUGAAUAAUGGUCAAAACUUACUAAUUUAUGGCACAAAUGUACUAUUUUAAUAAAAAAAACUUAUCUCAAACUAGUAUUAGGAAGUUUAUUUGAAAUAGUGAUAAGAAUUUUUAUUAAUGAUUGAAACUUAGUAUCCGAGUUAGUUAGUACUCAUAAUAAACCUAUAUAAUACAUGAUUGUAUGUAUAAUUUUAAAAUAUUUUGUAUUUAUAUAUUUUAAAAUAUUAUGAAAAAUGUUUUGACAUUCCACGUAACCUUGUAAACCUAUAUAAAAAUGUUUUUGAAAAGUUUGAAAGUUUGGAAAACAAUAACAACAAAUUUUCCUAGUUAUAUAUAGAAUAUCACUUGUCUACAUAUCAUAGUUUAUAUAAUUUAAUACCUGUGAAUAUAAUAAGAUGAUAAAGUUUUAAUAGAUUUAUUGUUUGGACACCAGAAUUUAUAAGAGUUAAACUUGUAUCAAUGCAGCCCAAACAAAAUGAGAGACAUAGUAUAACAAUUAAUAUAACAAUCAAAGUCACAAAAAUAAUAUAAAAAAUGAUUUGGACUUUUUUUCCUUGGAGAUUGUUCAUAAAAAUGAGAUCCAACUAUUAAAUGAAAAUCACAUGCAUAUAUAAGCUAUUAUAUAAUUUAAAUAAAAUUCAGUUCAUGUAUAAAACUAUCCAAAAAUAAUUAGCACACUAUAAUACAAUGUUAUUUUAACAACAGAAAAGUGUUUGCCAAAAGUUUCAAAUAUCCAUGACAUAUGUAUAAGAGAUAUUUUACCUUAUUUUUAUCUCACAUCUAAUCCUUAAGGUUAAUUUAAGCUAGAAUAAUUUUGAUAAUAGAAUAAUUUUGUUUUUAAUUAACAAAUUGAAAUUUUUUAGAAAAUAAAAGCGAAAUAUUUUGGGAACUUCGUUUUUUAUUUUCUCAAAUUUAAAUUUUUUUUUAUAUUUUAGCAAUUGUUGCAAUCAACUUUUCAUUUUCUAGACUUUUUUAUCAAUUUAAAAUUAGUUUCAUUAACAAUAAUUGAUGUUCCAUUAAUCCGAGGAUUGGCAUUCUAUUGCUAUUAUUUUAUAUGUAAAAAUUUAACCUGGGUAACAAAAUAAAUAAUAGCUACCUAAAAAAAGGAAAUAGGUGCUCAAUUGAUUGCAUUCAAACUACGAAUUCUGUUAAUGCAUAACCACUAAAGUAUAUUUUCAUUUGUAUGAAAUCAAUAUGCAUCAUAUAUUGACCAGGAUUAAAUUACUGAUUAAUUAAACAAAUCAUACCUAAACUCAUGAUGUGAUACGUACUGCAUUUUGUCACCUUUAUAUUCAUGUCAUUGUCCUUUCCUUCUAUUUAUAUUUUAAAGGUGUAAAGUUAUCUUGAUUAUGUUAGUGAAAAAGCAUAAAAUAUUUUGUACAAUUAUUCCAAUUUAUUUACAAAAUUUUAGUACUUUUAGAAGAAACUAUUUAUUUUAAGAAUGGUUUACUAAUUUUCUAGUAAACAUAUAUAUUACAUCAAAAGGUAGAAAAAACUUGAUUUUAUUGUAUUUUAAUUAGGAGUACUUUUACCAGUAAUAAUAGGAAGAGUGAAAUUGGUACAAAUUUCUAAACAACAAGCAAUGUACACCUAAAUAUGGGAAUUUUUUACAUUGAUCAGAGUAAUAUAUUAAAUGUAUGCCAUAAACGUAUACAAUAAACUAGCUUUAAUAAAUGUAUACGAUAAACUAAUUUAUGGCAUACAUUUAUUAAAACUAGUUUAUGGUAUAUAUUUGUUAUAUUAGUCUUAACAACCAAAAUAUUGUGUAUGUUGCUUGUAUUUUGAAAUUUGCACCAAUUUUACUAUUCCUAUUAUUACUGGUAAAAGUACUCUUAAAUAAAGCACAAUCAAAUCGAGGUUUUUACACCUUUUAGAUGUAGUAGUUGUGUUUACUAAAAAAAUUAGUAAACCAUUCCUACAAUAUAUAGUUUCUCCUAAGAGUACUAACAUUUUGUAAAUAAAGUGGAAUAAUUUUGUAAAAGAUCUUAUGCAUUUUUCACUAAUAUAAUCAAGAGAAUUUUGGACCUUUAAAAUAUAAAAAGAAAGAAAGGACAAUGGCAUGAGUAUAAAGGUGACCAAAUGCAGUACAUGUCACAUCAUGAGUUUAGGUAUGAUUUGUUUAGAUAACCAAUAAUUUAGUUCUGAUCAAUAUAUGAAGCAUAUUGAUUUCCUACAAAUGAAAAUAUAAUUUAGAAGUUAUGCAUUAACGGAAUUCAUAGUUCGAACGAUUCAAUUGAGCACUUAUUUCCUUUUUUUAAGUAUCUAUUACUUAUUUUUUUCACUUAGUUUAAAUAUUUAUGGGUAAAAUAAUAGCAAUAGCAUGCCAUUCUUCGACCAAUGGAACUUUAAUUAUUAUUAAUCACACUAAUUUUACAUUGAUGAAAAUUAGUCUAGAAAAUGAAAUGUCAAUGGCAACAAUUGCUAAAAACUAACAAUUUUUUUUUUAUUUUGGAAAUAUAAAAUGUAACGACUCCACCUCCCCCUAGAGCAAACUCAAGGGUUUGGCAGACCACUUGUCCAAUUCUCGCCAGAACUCAUGCACUCACUCGAACCAAAUCACAAUUUUCAAGCCAAACAAUUUUUUAAAACCAAGAAAGUACUUGAAUAACAACAGCCACAAUCCUUAGGCAACAACGUUAACUAUUAAAAACAUAAUAUUCAAAUACAAAUGAAAUCUACACUUUCAAAUGUCCAAAAAUCGCUCAGGGAAUCAUACUAACUCUAGACAAAAGUUAGCUAGUCUAGCGCCUCCAAUUCUUCACUUCAAAUUCCUGUUAAGGAAUAACAACUUAAAGGGAUAAGCGGACGCUCAGUGAGGCCAAGAAAUCAAGCAAGCAAGUAGAGCAAGUACCAUAAUUCAACUCAACUAGCACAUAUACAGAAUAACAACAAUGGUUUCACAUAAAUCCACAAAAGGACUAAAACACGUUCAUUAAGAGGAUAUAGGAGCUCUCAGGAGCCAAUUUCCCCAUUGCAGUAGAUUGAUCCAAACCCGUUGACACUCCUUCAACGUUUAAAGAAGUAAAAACAAUGACCGUAGAUCUUCACUUUAUACCAAUUUUCCGUCCACCAAACAUACCCCUUACCGGGUCCGAACACCAAAUACACACAGUGGUGAUAAUACUCGAGUAUACCCAAGUAAGAACAAGUAUGGUCGAUGAGAUAACACUCCAAUUGACUUAAUCAAGAUAGAGAUACUGAGACGGAAUGAGAGGCACCUCCCACUCGGAGGUGGUAUCAGAGCUGCUUCACGUGGUCUCUGCGCGGGGUGAGAUUGGGCCAAAUGGUCUUAUGGUCCCAAUUAUGUGAAUAAGUGCAAAGGACUAAGUGCUCUUCAUGAGCGUAUGUUGUGAAUCAUGAAAGUUAUAGGCGUAAAACCUUUAUCAUGAUACUUGAGAAAGAUAGAUAUGUACGUCAUGUAGGAAUCUUAAACUUGGUUGAUUUGCACUUGGGAGCGUACGGCCUGAGAUGUGAAUUCUCCUAGUUUCGGAUUCUUGUACCCGAGUACCAAAAGUGAAGUGCACUAGAAUAAGGGUCAAUAUCUUGACUGCACUUGAGAUAAAUUUGGAUGGCAAAAGUCAAGGCAUGAAAGAUUCUGGUAUUCAACUUGAGAUUAAACUGAUUAAGGAGAAUGAAUCAAUGAGUGUCGUCAGGGACUAGUUUCGUGCAUGUCUGUGAGAACCCGAAAAUUUUCAUAUUUUCUAAGUAUUAUUUUAUUUCCUUGCCUACAUUUCUAUACUGUCCUUUAAAAUAUUAAAGUUUCUAUGCAUUUUUAUAAGUAAGUACAAUUUUAAAUCAUUUUUCUAGUAUAAGUUAGUGUACGUUAAAUUUGAAAUGCAUUAUAGACGUGGGACCCGCUAGUGUGAUAAAAUUUUUGGUGACUAAGUGAUUUUUGUGCUAAAUGUUAUUAUUUUAUACGGUGCUAGGAGAUGAUCAGAGAUUAGUUAGAUAGAUUAACCAUUGGGAGAAGGAAGAUAAACUUAAAACAUUCAAGAUGCCACGUGUCGCGAAUCGAUUGGAAGUUGGAUUUUGACCUAAUUCUUACCUUUACUAAAUAUCAAAUUUUGACCAAUUUCUUUCUAUUUUUCCUUGUUCUUGGCCGGCCCUCUAGAGAGAAAAAACAAGAGAGACUACUUCAAUUUCUAGCUUCCAACCUUGCUUGAAUCUUGAGUUCUAGCCAACCAAAUUGGGAAGUACUCCAUACAAAUGCUCCCUAAGGAGGCUUAAAGGUUUUGGUGGAGUUAUUUUGGAGGAGGAAGGUCUAAGCUACCAUUUUUCCUUGUGGUCAUAAGGUAUAUUGUCAAGAAAAUCCUUCUUUACUUCUAGUAAUUGCAUAUUAGUGGUUUAGAAAUGAGAAAUAUGUAGUUUUAUGAGGAAUAUUGUGAUUUGAAGUAAUGAUUGAGGAAUUUUCAGUUUUCUUAGAGAAUUUUCUGCCCUCAUGUGAUGAUUAAUGGUUGGCCAUGAUUUUCUAGUUUUGAUAUGUGAAAAAUCUAGUGAUUUAGUGUUAGUUUCAUUUGCCUAAAGAAAUUUUCCAGCUUAUGUGCACAAUUCCAGCUUAGAGUUUCCAUUUGGUAGUAAUCUGCCCUGUUUUUGCACUGUAUUUUUGUCCUUAAGAGAGACCGAAUCAGCUCUUACUUAAAACAUGAAAGUUGUAGGUUUUUGAGUUAGCUAGCUACUGAAAAAAUUUCAGCUCAAUCGUACUACUGUAACUUGUGAAAUGACCAAAAUACCCUUGACUGUCCACAAGCCUUGUUUCACGGAUAGUUUUCUGUCCUCUCUGAGAUUUCGAUUUUUGACCAUGACAAUGCAUGAUUUGGCUUUGGAGGUCUUCAUAUGGAAUGUAGGUAUAUGUCUUGGCUUCGAAACGCCAUAAGAUUCGUUUCAAUCUGAUAACUGUAGCUUCAACUGUCACGGCCCCACCUCCCCCUAAGGCGAACCAGAGGGUUCGGCGGGCCGCCUGCCCAGCUCUCGCCGGGACUCAGUCGUUCACUACAGUCCUCAAAUGGAUUACAAGAUAAAUCUCAAAAAUACAUCACAGUCUCCAAUAAUUACAUGUCACAAAUGAAGCGGAAACGAUUUCCAACUAUACAUAAAAUGAUUCUGCAUCCAAACGGUACAAAAUAUAACAAUUCCAACUAAGCCAUCCAAUCACGUGAAUAAGCACAACAAGUCCUUCCUUCGCCUUGAGCCCUGUGGAGGGGAAUAAAAUAUUUUUGGGGUGAGCUAGAAGCUCAGCGAGUAACCAGGAAAAUCAUUAAACAAAUAUAUUUCACAAUGUUGCAUUUCGAUCAUUUCGAUGAUGUCAUGAUUCAGAGAUCAAAUGUACGUUUAGUGCUCUCGUGAGCCGUUGAAAUCACAGCACUUGAACACCCAACGCUCAAAUAGAUCAUUUAACAUUAACGUUAACAUUAGGAGGGAGCCCCUUUUUGAGCUCCGGAGCCAUUUGCUCCGUCAUGUCACGAACUCACGAAAAUGAUGGAGACGUUGGUGUCCAGCACAAGACUUUCCCAGAACUCAUUGAAGCCAAAUAAUGUCAUGAAUUCACAUGCAAGCACGCAUGAGAUGCAAUCGAGUACAUAAUGCAAGAAACAUUUCACAAGUACUUUGGAAAUAGUUUAGGGUCACUCACCUCCACGGCUCAGAAAUCAUCCAUCAUAUAUCAUUGUGUUGCUCAAAUUCAAGUCUUAGUUCACAAACUCAAUGCAAACAAGUCCUUUCAAAAUUCGGACAACACUUCCUCUUAUCUUUCUUUACUUUUCCAGCCAUCAAGGCUUCAUUAUUUCCUCAUUCCAACCCAAAGGUACACACACAACAACAAGUUCAUCCAAUAGCCAUUCAGCAAGCUCCAAGUAGUACUAGUACAAGUCAAGCUAGGGAAAAGUCCGGAAAUGAAAGUUAAGCUCAAAACCAGAAAAACAGUUUUGGACGUCAUUUGCGGUAAUGGUGCCAAAAGUACUACGAUGGUCGGAUGAAGGUGCAAGACCCACCGUUUCGAAGCUAAAAGACAGGGCUACAACAAUGUAGAAGGCCACUCAGUCCAAAUACUAGCACAACUAGGUCAAAUAUGCAGAAUACCAAACCAGAACCGUAAUUGCAGGUUUACAAAUCACACUAUGCUGUAAUUAGUCCAACUCAGUCUAUACAGGUCCAAAUGCAUUGAUUCCAAAGGCAUGCGGUAGAUAAGACAUAAAUCUACAUUUCAUCAGAAGACACCAACAUCCAAAUCCAAAACAAUUCCAGUCAAAACAGACGAUUACAAGUGCAGUUCGCACAUUCUGAUCAACCCAGAACAGCAACAGUAAAAUUGACAUAUCUCAUUCUACGCUACUCCAAUUGCCCUGAAAUUUUACAGGCACCUCAAACACAUCAAUACCUACAACUUUUAUGUUUUAAGCAAAGGCUAAUUAGGCCUCUAACCAUAUGAUCCAAAACCGGACAGAAAAGGGGGUUAUGAAACCCUAACUUCCUCAAAUUCCUUCCAAACCCAAAAUUGGUUGCAAUUACCAAUCAUUUACAUCCACUAGAGUCAUAACCCUUCAUUACCAACCAUCAUAAAUAACCACAACAUCAUGAUCACAUUAAACCAGAAAAUUCCUCAAUAAAAUAAAAACUUCACCAAUUCAUCUCAAAUCAAGAAACAAACCACAAAUUUCAGCACUUUAGCCACCACUAAGCACAACUUAAGCUUCAUUAAGUGUAGGAGGAAGUUCAAUCACCACUCACCUAGUAAACAAGAGAGGGAGAGUUUUGGACACCUUAGCUUCCCAAAACACUUCACCAAACCACUUACUAGCACCAAAUGGAAAGAUUUUAUGGAGUAGAAACAAGAUCAAAUGGUUGGAUGAUUACACUCAAGCAAGAUGGAAGCAAGAAUCUUGGAGAGUUUUUCUUUCUUCUUAGCUAGAGAGGGUCGGCCAAGCUUGCAGAAAUUUGGGUGCUUUUUGGGUCAAAAUUGAGUAUUAGUAAAGGUAAGAAAUAAUGGUCAAAGUCAAGGUUGAAUAGGAAGGUGACACUUGUCACCCUUAGGUUCAAAACUUAUCUUUUUGUCUCUCCAAUACAAAUAUCUUAACACAUUGUAAAAUAAUAUCACUUAAUACAAAAAUCCAACAAGUUGUCAAAAAUAUAUUGCGUUUACCGCACUUGCGGGUCCCACGUUCAAAAUACGCUCUUAAUUUCUCAAAAACUAACCGAUACUAGAAAAAUCAUUUUAAAACUAUUUUUGCUCAUAAACUUUAUUUGGGGAAUUUUUCUAAUAAAGAAAAUGUAGAAAAGGCGGGCGAUUAAAUAAAAUAAACCCUAGAAAAUUAGAAAAUUUCCGGGUUCUCAAACUCAUUUUUUUUUCGGGGCGUCACAAAUUCGGCCUCUAACUGGGAGCUAAGAAUUCGGGCAGAAUGUUCCUUCACAAAACCUAAUUUUCUGAAAUUUCUUCCAAAACAGAAAUUGAUUGUAAUUAACCACUUUUUCCACCUCAUAGAGUCCUUAAACAUCAUUUCCAAUCAUCAUAUAUAACCACACAACCAUGUUCAUAUUAAAACAGAAAAAUCCCCAAAAAUUAUAAAACUUCAUCAAGUCAACCACAAAUCAAGAAAUAAUCCAUCAAACCAUCUCUUUAGCCAUCACAAGUCACUAAUUUAGCAUAAUCAAGAACAAAGAAAGGAUUGCUAGACAUGAACCUUGAAAUAUCAAGAAAGUUGAUGGCUUAGUCCUUUGCCUUCUCUAAUCACUCCACCACUACCUUCAAUCUUCCUAAACAAGUGACUUUUGUGGAGGAAUUUGAAAGUUUAACGGUUGAUUCACAAGAUUGAGCAAGAAAUGGAGUUGGAGUUGAAGGCUUUCUUCUUGUAUUUUUGCUCCAAGAGGUUCGGCCAAGCUUGCAGAAAUUUAGAUGCUUUUUGGGUCAAAAUUGAGUAUUAGUAAAGGUAAGAAAUAAUGGUCAAAGUCAAGGUUGAAUAGGAAGGUGACACUUGUCACCCUUUAGGUUUAAAACUUAUCUUUUUGUCUCUCCAAUACAAAUAUCUUAACACUUUGUAAAAUAAUAUCACUUAAUACAAAAUUCCAACAAAUUGUCAAAAAUAUAAUGCAUUUACCGCACUUGCGGGUCCCACGUUCAAAAUACGCUCUUAAUUUCUCAAAAACUAACCGAUACUAGAAAAAUCAUUUUAAAACUAUCUUUGCUCAUAAACUUUAUCUGGGGAAUUUUUCUAAUCAAGAAAAUGUAGAAAAGGCGGACGAUUAAAUAAAAUAAACCCUAGAAAAUUAGAAAAUUUUCGGGUUCUCACACUCAUUCUUUUCGGGGCGUCACACCUUUUGUCAUCUUUCCUCCCAUGGUGGAGUAAUGUGGACUGUGGAUAUGCCCAUCCCGUGAAGGGUAGAAAACUUCAGCUCUUCACUGGGACGGACAGCAACUCGAUCAACUCCAGUCAAGUUAACCCCAAUGCUAUAAAAAAUGAGAGAAAGGAGACGUGAAAAUCCAUACUUAAAAGAGAUAGUGUGUUUCCUUGUUGUCGUCCUUAUGUAGCUGAUAAUGAUAUUCAGGAGUGGGAUGCGGGCGUAGGAGGAUUCCCUAUUGCGAAACAUCUAGUUCAGAAAAUAUAUGUCACUUUUUCGGACCUCCCUGUGACCACUCUUCUUUGGAAUCACUGUCACGGCCCCACCUCCCCCUAAGGCGAACCAGAGGGUUCGGCGGGCCGCCUGCCCAGCUCUCGCCGGGACUCAGUCGUUCACUACAAUCCUCAAACAAAUACAAGAUAAAAUCUCAAAUAUAAAUCAAAUGUUCCAACAUUUACAUAUCAAAAGCGAAGCGUCCACGCUUCCGCAGCGCCACUCUGAUACAUGAUCCCAAUGAUUAUACAAGAGGAAGUCCAAAACUAGCCUAUUACACAUCCAAUCAAUUCUAAACGUUCAAUACAAUCCCAAUAUGAACGAUUACACAAAAGGAAUCCAAAUUCAAUCCAUACAUGAGAUAAUCCAGGAUAAGCACUACAAGCCCUUCCUUCGCUUUGAGCCCUAUGGAGGGGAAUAAAAUAUUUUUGGGGUGAGCUAGAAGCUCAGCGAGUAACCAGUAAAAUCAGUCAUCAAAUCUGUUUAACAAUAGUUCAUUUCAAUGAUGUCAUUUCAAUAUGGAGUAUCAAUAAUUCAAGAAACAUUUACAAUGGAAAGCGAUAGUAACAUUCGUGAAAGGAUACGUUCGUUCUCCUGUCAUUUCAUUUCAUUUGUUUUCAUUCGAGCAUUCAUUCACCCCGUCCCUGGCUUUUGGCCAGGCUCCACCAACCUACAAGGUAAUACUCGAGUAUACCGAAACGUUCACCCAAGUUCCUAGUCGCCCGACCGAGUCCGCUUCUGGCUCGAGACGACCGGUAACAAGGGGCAAUGGCCAGUUCAGCCCAAAAGGCUUACAUUCAUGCGCAAGUAGCAUUUAAUCAUUAAUCAUUGAAAAUGUCAUAUUUAUUUAGGUCGAGUGCGAUAAAGUACACACUCGCCUAGAAAACUCAUUUUAACAAUCAUUGAAAGCAAAUUCAAUAAUAACAAGACACUGUUAUGCAAGCACGCAUGAUAUGUAAGAAACAGUUCCAAAAUUUAACUUUGAAAACAGCUCAAAAGUAAAUAAUGCGGGAAAGCGGUUCAAAAGUAAAUUUGGAAACAGUUCAAAAGUCAAUAAUGCAAGAAACGGUUCAUAAAUAAUUUUAGAAAGAGUUUGAGGUCACUCACCUCCACGGCUCUGAAACCAUCCAUCAAGCUCCAAGUAGUACUAGUACAAGUCAAGCUAGGGAAAAGUCCGGAAAUGAAAGUUAAGCUCAAAACCAGAAAAACAGUUUUGACGUCCUUUUGCGGUAAUGGCACCAAAGGUACUACGAGUAUCGGAUGGAGGUCCAAGACCCACCGUUUCGAAGCUAAGAACCAGGGCUACAACAAUGUAGAAGGCCACUCAGUCCAAAUCCUAGCACAACUAGGUCAAAUAUGCAGAAUACCAAACCAGAACCGUAAUUACAGGUUUACAAAUCACACUAUGCUGUAAUCAGUACAACUCAGUCUAUACAGGUCCAAAUUCAUUGAUUCCAAAGGCAUGAGGUAGCUAAGGCAUCAAGCUACAUUUCAUCAGAAGACACCAAUAUCCAAAUCCAAAACAAUUCCAGUCAAAACAGACGAUUACAAGUGCAGUUCGCACAUUCUGAUCAACCCAGAACAGCAACAGUAAAAUCGACAUAUCUCAUUCUACACUACUCCAAUUACCCUGAAAUUUUACAGGCACCUCAAACACAUCAAUACCUACAACUUUCAUGUUUCAAGGAAAGGCCAAUUCGGCCUCUAACCAUAUGAUACAAAACCGGACAGAAAGGGGGUUAUGAAACCCUAACUUUUCACAUUUCCUUCCAAAUCCAAAAUUGGUUGGAAUUUCCAAUCAUUUAUACCUACUAGAGUCAUUAACCAUCAAUUCCCAUCAUCAAAGAUAUCCACAACAUCACAUUCAUAGUAAACCAGAAAAUUCCUCAAUAAAUUGAAAACUUCACCAUAAAUUCCUUCAACCUAUGAAAUACUCCACAAAAUAACACACAUGGCCACCACAAACCAUUAAUUAACCAAUACUAGAACAAAAGUCACUUGUAUAAUCAACUCACCUCAAAUUCAAGAGAGCUACCAACUUAGAGCUUUCCUUCAAAAACCAAUCCAUCCAAAGCUUUAAACCACCAUAGAGCACCCUUGUGUGAAAUAUUUUCCAAAACCAUCGGUGAAAUCGCAAGAUUUUGGGACAAAAUUGAAGUUGGAAAAUGAAGAGGUUUCUUUCUCUCAAAGCUCACGGAAGAACCAGGGAAGAAAUGAUAUAUUUUGGAGGCCAAAAUAGUUUAAAAGAAAGGAAACAGUCGGUCAAAGCUGGUGACCGACUGUGACACGUCACAAUCCGGCCGGAAUCUGGCCGGAUUUCCGACCGGAUUCUUGGCCGGAUUCAAGGCAGUGGCUAAGUCGAAUUUUUUUCAAAAUGUUCAAACAAUCCGGCCAGCAAUCCGGCCAAGAACUGGCCGGAUUUGCGGCCAGAUUUGGCCCUUGCUUUUUUUCAAAACUUUUCUUUUCUUUUCCAAGUUCAAACGUUGCGCUCCUCCGCUCGUCCAACAAAGAUAUAUAGAAAAUAAAACCCUCCGUCAUACGGGGCGUCACAAUCACACAGUGCGCUAUCAUGUAGAUUAGAAGGUGAUGACGAGUGUCAAAAACACUAGCAACCAUUAUCUCUCUACAGGAGAUCAUGAGUAAGGUAUAUUCGAGUACUUCACACUCAAGAAUCCACCAACUCUCCAUUGUGUCUUGUCUUGUUGACGGUGUUAGCAUAAAACUCGCGCACCAAAUCCGGAUAGUAAUAAGAAGGCAAAGUGAGAAUUGGCACCCAUUUGAGUUGGUUAAACACCUCCGUGAUACGAUAGGCCGUCUCAAUCUCUGGGUGGAUGUGCUUCUUGAAAAUGAACUCCAAAUUAGCAUGCUCUUUGUGCCACUCUUGAUUUUUUAAAGUUGUGAAUCUAGCGCUAUCAUAGAAUGUAGCUUCAAAGUGUCAAGACAUGCUUUCCCAUUGACGCCGAACCACAGGUUGGGGUGAAGGGGACCUUUCUUCCUUACUCUCCUCAAAUUCUUUGCUAACUUCUAUUUCUUCACUUCCUUCACUAUCCUCAACACUAGAAGAAGAAUGCUUGUGAAUGACAAGCCUUUUUCCUCUCGUCAUAGUAUCUAAGAAAAAAAUUACAAUUAUCUUCCGAAACUAGGAUAAUGAUUUGCACACAUCACAUAUUCCCUAAGAAAUAAUUCUUAUAACAUACUUAAAGAAAAAUCCUUUCACUUAUAAUAACCGUAGGCAUUUUAUAGAAUUAUCAUGCAUGUAUAAGGAUUAAAAUUAACUCAAAUAACCACAAUUACACAUUUUCAUGCCAAUAAGAAUCAAUUAAAUACUAAAAAAUAUCCAAUAAUAUGAUAUUAAAGACAUGACAUUAAAAUUGUCAAAAAAUUUUCAAAAUCACCAACUAAUGAAAAAGAACAAAAAAUAUGAUCAACUUAGUGAUUUUAUCAAUAAUCAUGUUUAUAUCAAUUACAAAUUAGUCACAAUAAACAACAAUUUGCCAUCAACAUAAUUAUGCAAAAAUUAUCCCCAAAAAUCACAAAAUUCAUCAAAAUUACUCUCUAUAAGCAAUGUACAUCCUAAAAUAUCAUCAACCAACCAAUGUUAGCUAAUAGCAUCAAUCAAAUGGGCUCAAUAACAAUCCAAGCUAGUUUUUCAAUUUUAUCCAAAUAUAGCAAAUCAAAAAUUUUUAAUAACUAAUAAAGCAUCAAAUUGUUACAUUUGAACAUGUAAACAUGUUUAAACAUCCUUAAUAAGCAAAUUGGAAGCCAUUAACAUCAUCAAAUAUCAUCAAAAAUUUGAAAUUAGAAGAUGUCAGAAAACUCAGGAAAUUGAAAAUUACCAAUUUCGAAAAUAUAAAGAUUUAAUAAAAAAAAAUUAUCUCAAUCACGUAGAAGGAUGUUUUGUGAGAACCCGAAAAAUUUUCUUAUUUUUAUCUUAUUUUACCGGCUUAUUUAAUUAUUUAUUCACCCAUUUUCUCCGAAUAAUUUAUUUCAACCAUUUUAAAUCCAUUUACAUGGAACUGUGACUUACAUAUAUUUUUAAAACAUCUCGUUAGUAAAUUUAAUUUUUGGAAUCUCGUUUAGUAAGAUUUAGGAAUACGCGUCUAGAGGCAAUAUUCGAUCUGAGAGUACAGUGACCUUGGAGAUUUGAGGACUCAUGCGUUAGUCUUAAAAUAGUUAUUUUUAUGAUUAAUUACCCUAGUAUUAGUUACUUAUAUUAUCGUUACAAGAAUUCCUUUUAGGGUUCGUUUUGUCACACGCGAAUUGGAAGUUCGCGUAUAUCGAGCCAGAGCGGUUAAUUGGAGAUUUAAGGAAUUUAUUCUAGACUACUAAGAGUGAAUAAUUAUAAUGUUAAAGAAAGUACAUUAGAGGUUUAGUGCACAAGUGAAACAAACCAGAGAGAAAACGGACACAAAAUGCGCGCGUGCGCGCACUAUUAAGAGUUGACUUUUGAAGGAAUUUUAACCACAAAUUCUUAAGCUUCUCCAAGAAGCUUCAUUGAUCAGCCUUCUCUCUCUCUCUCACUCACCAUAGCCGGCCAACUCCAAGCAAGGAAUAAGAAGAAAACUCCUCACCAUUUCACUCCAAAUCCGACUCCAAAUCACCUUAAACUUUGCAUCCAACCUCAAAAUUUCUUGGAGAUCCACUUAAGCUAGAAGAAAGGCAUCAUCUCACGGUUUUCUUGGGGCUUUAGAGGUGCAAAAAUUUUUGAUUUGUCUCAAGGAUUAGGAGGUAAUCAUCUAAUCUUUUAAUCUUGGCUUUAGUGAGUUAAUCAUGGCUAAGAAGCUUGUAGCUUCACUAUUGAGGUUGUUAUUUGAAUUGGAAUGAUUGAUGUGGGCUCUAUGAAAUUCCACCUUGGAUGUAUGGGCUGUUAUGAUGAUAAUAAGUGUUUUUUGUGUUAAUUAUGUGUUAAACAAGAUGACAUUAGUUAGAAAAGUGAAAGGAAAAUCGAAGGAAAUUGCAUAGGAAGACCAGCCAAAAUCUGUCCUGUUUUUGCCAGGCCUUUGGUUCAAAUUUUUGUUGCUCAAAUGACUUUGAAACUGAUGUAGAUAUGUUUUAUAUGAGGUGAGGAAAGUUUCUACCAAAAAUCAUUUGAUUUGGUUGAGUAAAAGUUGAAAUUUUGAAUUUGUAGAAAUCUGGAAAAAUGUGUUCAGGUGGUCCGAACAGAGCUUCUUUGAACAAACAGAAAUCUCUGCUUAGAUGUCAUAAUAGUGCCAUCAAUGGCAUUCAAACCUAGACAUCCAUAGUUUUCUAAUGGUGUAUCAUGCACCUUCUAAUUCGAACUGAGUCAUCGAUCAAAGUCGGCUGCCCUGUUCUGUUAGUCCAACCGAGAGGAAGUUAAAAGCUGCGACUUGUAGCUCUAAUUUGUCUCAUUUUCGAACUGAAUUUCAAAAUGAUUUCUUCUGAUGAAAUGUAGAAUUGUGAAUCUAGUUUCCAACUCCACUGACCACGCUCAAUUUUAAGUUGUAUUGAGUGAGAUAUAGCCCAAUUUCCGAACUGUACCAAAGUUGAAAACCCUAAUUUUGCUAGCGGAAUGGUCUAGUUUGACUUGGGACAUGUUGUUUCAAAAAUUUUGGUGUCAAACACCAACCAAAUGUAUAUUACAUGUUUCCUGGACCUUAGUGUCACCAAUGAACCAAAUUGGAGUUGAUUUCAUUGGGCAAUAUGUUUGAAAAUGGAAAAGGAAACAAGAAGACAGAUUUGUCUUCAAAAUUUCUUGAACUUUGGUAGUUUUGUUAACUAUCUUCCCAGAUGAUUUUUUACAUGAAAUUUGAUAGAGGAGUAGCCCUCAUAUGGAAGUUGAAUUGUACCAAUUUUGGUGUCAUUCUAAGACUGUUUUGAUAUACAAAUGAUAGGCCAAAGUUGUUCUUCAAAAUCUGGAAAAUUUACCAACAGUCUUCAUUUUUGGGCCAACUUUGGGCUACUAUAUUUUGACACUCAAAACUCCGAAUUUAGUUCUGUUUGUUGUGUUUCAAGCUUUUCUAUAACUCUUAUUGUAGUAUGAAUUUCAGAGGCUAGUUCAUUUCCUGUGAAUUUUGCCGAAUUUCUAAAGUUUGCCGAUAAACAAGACUAAAACUGUCUUGUGUGCUUAUAGCAGCCACUUUGGGCUGAAAUUUGAAUGUCUUCCUUUCAGAAUCCUGGAAAGGUUCUUCUAGGAACUUUUAGUAUUUUGAACCAAGAUUCCAACGGUAUAAAGUUUUCCAAUUUUGGACCUAUUGAGUGCAAGUUUUGAUUUUUCUAAGUUGACGUGCAAAAAAUGAAAUUUUCCGAAUCGAUGGGAAAUGAGUUUUGGAGACUCUUCCCUAUCCUUCGAUAUUGACUGACCAUUUUAAACUUGAUUUCAUGAAGGAAAUCAAUUUUUCCUUGUAUUAUUAAACCCCACUUUUGAGCCUCGAUUCACGAGUAAUUAAGGCUCUCUUUUAUGAUAUUUUAUUAGUAUUGUACAAGUGUACAAUCUUCCUUGUUAAUAGGGGGUUUAUAAGUGAUAGUGUGUGAUCGUAAAUUAUUAUUUGUUCAAGCGCUCAAGGGGACCUUAAAGAGGAUCUCGAAACGAACGCCUAACGACUUACUUGCUCGUUCACUCACUCUUAUCUUGACUUGGUGAGUGUCAAGUGUGCGAAAAAUUGUUACGUGCUUAAUUGUUUUUAUUGAUUGAGUAUUUUGAAUAUACCGAGUCGAGUGUGUACUUUAUCGCACUCGUUCUCGUUUAAGUGAAGCGUAUUUGAAUUGCUUGAAGUGAAUUGCUUAAAGUGAAUUGCUUGAAAUGAAUUGUUAAAUGAAAUAAGUGAAGUGUUGAAAUGGUUAAUUAUGUUAUGACUGCAUAAGUCGUUGGAGUGAAUCUCCUCGACUCCUAGUGAUAAUGUUGGGGGACGCCCAAAAUCUCAUCGGCCGACCUUGCGACUCGAGCCGGCAUGGGAUUGGUUGAGAAGUUUGGUGAGCCAUGGGAAAGUGUAUAAGUUUGAUCUAUUGAAGAGAUCUCGCUUAGCAUACUUGAGUAGUAUCGCCUUAUAUAAAAGAAGUGCGGGCCCGGAGCAGGAGGAGUAACGGUGAACGGGGGACGUGUAAGUGAAGUUCUACGGAUUAUAACCUACCCGAUUGACGGAGUGUCAACUCGUGGAGGUACUGGAUCGAGCAAGUGGAAAAUAGCUCCUGAGAGCUCCCGUAUCCUUAUCAAGUGUGUUUUAUUGUUAAAUUGUGAGCUACUAGAAUGUCAUAGUUUUCAUUCGUGUUUAAGUGAUAUUGUUAUUUGAACUACGUGUUUUGCAUGUUUUCUUGGCCUCACGAGCGUUAAUUCACCCCGUUAGAUUUGUUUUCCUUAAUAGGAACGAAAAUGGAAGGAAUUAUGGAGAAGCCAACUUGAUGGCUCUUUUGGUUGGGAUUUUGAUUGUAAUUGUUAAGACAACUUUUGGAAGUUGUAUACUUUGGAAAGUUGAUGUAUUUUGAAAAAUUGUGAUGUAAGAUUGAACGUUUGUGUAAAGAAGCGACUUUCUUCAUAUCUUCGACUUUUAUUAUUUAGUUAUUUACUUUAAGCUUAGAUUGGAUUGUAUCGAGUCCUGGCGAGAGUUGGGCAGGCGUCCCGCUGAUACCCUUGGGUUCGCCCUUGGGAGAAGUGGUGGCGUCACAGUUGGUAUCAGAGCCUAGGCUUUAGAUCUUUGUAGUGUAUCCUAGGCUUGAAGUUAAGAAUGUCGGACUGUAGGAAUGGUUCAAAAUUUAAAUAACCGUUUGUAGGGAUGAAAAUUAGAACCUAGAUUUGAAUUGAUGGACAAUUAGGAGUCUCGAUCUUGUAAGAGAUAUGUGGGAUAGUACGAGAUGAUCAAAUCUAGUUUAUUUAGUGUACUUGGACCUAUCUAAGCUUUUAACUUUAAAAGUAAGUUAUGGAAGGUAAUGGUGGUAUUGAGCCGUCUUGGACGCGCCUUCCGAUGGCCCAUUGUCGAGAACGGCCUAGGGGAGCUCAUUGGAGGUAUAGCCCAACUCGCCGAACUAGGACUCCAUGUGAUUUCCAGAGGACUCACUUGUACCCAAAUAACAUGGUGUUAGCGAUAAUCGAUGACCAAAAGCAAUUGUCUGAGGAAACUAGAGUAGAUUGAGAGGAUAAUCAAGGACUGAGGGCAAUUAUGGAUGCCUAGACUACUAGAAUUCCUGAAAUGGAGACUGAGGUACUUGAGGAGCGAGGAAAAGACAAGGGCUCCUUAUGAGCAGCUUCAAAAGCUAAGAACCGACUUGUUAGGGUAGUAUACAAAAUUAGAGACUGGACGAAUAAGUCGAUGGCUGGAUGUGUCCCUCGGUCGAACAAGUGGUAAAUGGCAAGAUACGUGACGGAAAAAAAAAGAGGAAAAUUCCUAGUGCUGAAAGUGAGAACAAUCCUAUUGAAGUAAUAGAGACUUCUAGUUCCACCAAUCACUAAGCUAGUGAUCUGGUCUACUUUAGUAGUUUUGUAGUUGGGAUUAGCUGGGGUGGUGCUAGUUCAAAGGCCAUUGUAUUUUGCUUAACUGUGUGACCUAUCUUUUGAAGAACUUGGAUCUACUCUUGACUUGCUUGACUAAAUGUACUUUUGUAGCACCUGUGUGCUAUAUUUUGUAAAUGCCCAUGACUUGCUAAUUGUAUGAAUUUUGAAAUACUAGUAUAUGCAAGUUGGCUUUAUUUCAAAUGUUUCUCAUGUUACCUUUUGUUUUAAGUGUUCCCUCGUAUAAUUGUUUUUAAUUUGCAUUUAGACAUACCUAAGACUAUGAACGGCCGUGGAGGUGCAAGGGACACAGGGCGUGGGGUUAGGCAACCCGAUGCCCAUAGGGAUGAUCAAGGAUUGGCAACUGAUCCGAGCCAAGGGCAAAUGAAUGAAGAGGAUAAUCAAGUGGUUAUUGCCAUUAACCGAAUAAUAGAUAUUUUUGAGUGGUUAGCUGAACACUAAAGCCCUAAACCAAUCAACCAACCUGAACCAAGAGAGCAGUGAGGAUAGAGCGAUUUCUGAAGUUCACCCAUCUAAGUUUCAUGGAGGCUCUAACCUCAAAAUAGUAGAUUGGUUUGAGGGGAUGAAAUGAGGCACUAGUGAAAGUAAGAGGUUUGGGUUUCUUCUUGAACAACUUUGUAGAUGAGUAUUGGAGAGUGAACUAGGGCAUGAAACUUUUAUAUUAGGGAAUAAGGUCUCCAUAUUUUGUUAUGUUUGUAAGUAAUGAUAGUAAUUGUGUGGAGUCUCAAGAAUUCGUUCAUAUUAAGUAGAGAAUAGUUAAGAUUUAUAUUCUGGGGUACUAUAAGCCGAAGAAUGAAAGAGUAAUAUAGCCAGAAUUUUCAUUGUGAAUAGUUACUCAUUUUGAUCCUUUGAUUUGCCUGGCAGGCUAGCAUUUGACUUAAGCCAACUGGUAAGAUGACAAAUUUGGAAGAAAUGCGUAAGGAAAUGGACAUUCUUCGAAAUGACGUAGAAUUUCAAAAGAAAUUGGCUGACUACUGAGAAGGACGGUGGAAAUAAGAAUAUGCAGAGAAAAUUGAGUUGCUACACAAGAACGUGGAACUGGAGAAGAAAUACAAAGGAAAUUCUUAAACUGAUCAAGCCGUGACUUCUCACGUAACUUGUGGAUAUUGUGGUAAGAUUAACCAUGCUGAGGCCGAGUGCUGGAGAAAACAAGGAAAAUGUUUGUGGUGCGGUAGUACCGAACAUAAGUUUUCGAAUUGUCUUGGAGCUUCUAAGAAAAAAGGAAAUACUCAGCAGUUUGCUAGAUCCACUGCAAAGCAAUCGAGGGCUAGAAGGGAUGAUUAAUACUAUUGGCUGUGAGAGAAAUCCAAGUAAUGGAAGUAAUACGAGUGGGUGAUGGAUUUGACUCCACUCGAGGAAUAGGAGUUGUAGUUUUACCCUAGUCUAGACUAGCACUUUUGGAGGUUGUGAUCUUUUGAAAAAGGGAAAGUCUUUUGUUGUUUUGUAUCUUGGCAACUUGGCACGUUUGGUUUUAGUCUUGUUGUUUGCCUUUUCCUCUUGAAAUGAUUUGAUAAACCUAUUCCAACUUAAUGUAACUAUUAUGAUCUUUUAUGAAAUAUGAAAUUUACCUUGCUUUUAAUUAAUUUCAUGGCUUAUAGGCGUAUUUACACUUUGUGUCGCGCCCCAUUUUUUUUAAAAAAUAAUAAAUGGUUUAAAAAGUGAAUUUUUGAUGAAAAAAAAGAAAAUGAAAAAUAUGGGUCUAAAUGGGACUUGAAAAUGCGACGAUUUGACCCAAAAUAAAAGUUUAAAAAGGGUUUUGAACGAAAAUCGGAAUCGCCACUUGGUAUAGAGUUAAGGUGUACCAAGUCACCUAAAAUGAGUUUUCAAAGGAAAAAGUAGAGAGAAACCCCUUUUAAACGACUCCUAGUCUACGUAAACCAACGAAAAAGGUUCGGGAGUCACAUUUGACGAAGGGGAAGGCAAGGAUAAAAAUCCAAGGCACCCCUUCGACCUAGCCAAGGCUAGUUGCGUGAUUUAGUCAAGAAUUUUUUCUUAUUUUAACCAAAAGAUUUAUCACAUUUGGACGUACUAUAUGAAUGCAAACCCUAGACCUAGGGGGACAUCGGGGGGGCAAAAUUUCUCUUCAAAGCUUGAAUGGUGCCAAUCACAUUAAUUGUGAUGCCCGAUAAUGACUCUUUGGAGAGGUCACGAAUAAUGCAAAAAUAUGAGACUCUAAGAAGAGGAAAAGAAUAAAAUAAUUAUAGAAAUAUACAUGUCUUAAAGGAAUGCAUCAUGUCUGAUACGGGGGACUAAUGUUCGUGACUCAAUUUUCCCUUUAAUAGAGGGAAUACGAGCGUGCUAAGGUUAGAAAAGCCAAACUCGUCCAUAUCCCAUAUCCAAGGGGCUAAUCCCUAGUCUAAUCAGGCAAAAUGCACUAAUAUACCCCCUAAUUUCCUAAAUGAGAUGCAAAUUUAAGUGUUAUGUAUCACACAUAGGGGUAAGGGAUAUUUUAUUAGAGGAAAUAUUAUGUAAAAAUGAUAAAGAUCCUAAAAAUGAAAAAAUAUGCAUGAAGUGUAAUGUAAUCAUACAAAUAUGAUCUAACGAGGGAGGUCCCUAAGGGUCUAGCAUUGGACUAGCCCAUGUCUAUGGAUCCUCACUAGCAUUGGACUAGUGGGAAAUCGGAACAAAGAACCACAACUAGCGUUGGACUAGUGUGGUGACGGGAAAGGAAUCACAGCUAGCAUUGGACUAGUGUGAUAACAUGCAUUUAUUAUAGUCUAAGAAAAUCAGAUAAAGCAUAAUAAAGCAAAUAAGCACAUAAAUCACAUAAGACACAUAACACAUAGGCAUGAUAUCUAGAUGCACGUCCUAAGAAAGCGGUAACACAUAGCACAUAGGCAUGCAACACACACAAGGCAAGUAAAACAAAUAAAGCCCUAACUAUUACAUUCGGGGGGGAAGCCUACUACAAUCUAAGAGGGAAGGAAUUAAAUGAAAGGAUAUAAUAGCCUAACUAUUACAAUUGUGGCAUUCAAGUGCCUUUCAAAUGAUCAAAAAAUGAACGAAAAUAAAAUAAAAAUACUAAAUUAAAACAAAUAAAGCGAAUAAAUAAAUAAAUAAAAUGAAAGCUUUCAAAUGGCAUGCAAUUGAGCACAUAAAGUCACAUAAGGUCAAAUAAAGUCAAGAAUAAAGGAUAAAGUGUACCUCCCUUGAGUUGAUGCCCUAAUAGGGUGAGAUUACUUAUUUACCCUCCAAAAUAAAAUAAAAGGUCAAGGCAUCACUUUAAUUAACAAAUAAUCACAAAAGAUAAAAAUGAACAUGAAAUUGAAUCAAUUAAAUCAUGUAAACAACCCACAGUUAAAAAGGGUAAAAGAAGAAAGGACUUAAUUGCAAAAAUUUACAAAGCUUUGGGGUGAAAAUUAAAGAAAAAUAAAGUUUAGGGACCUAUUUGCAAUUACAUUAGGGACCCAAUUGAAAGCAUUGAAAGUUUGUAGGGCCAUAGUGAAAUUAAAGAAAAACACAGGAGGUGAUCUGCAAAAUCGUUCUCUGGUUUCUUAAUGGAUCAGCACUGGGCCAUUUUAUUUAUUUGUUUGGGAUGAAAACCUCCCCCAACCCAACCGAGACCCAUAGCAAAAGAAUGGACCAAUCUGUCAUUUAUAACCCCAAGAAUAACCAAUAAAGUCAAUGGGCUUCUACCCUCUAGCCCAAAUCAAAACCCAAAAAUAAAAGACUCAACCCACUCCUUUAAACCCAGGCAAAAUAAUCUCUCAACACAAAAUCACUUGUUUCACUAAAACCCAACAUGAUAAAAUCAAUUAAAAUUAUUAAACCACAAUUAUGACCUAAAAUCAAGAAUUAAUCCACCCAAAAGACUACUUAAAAAAAAAGACAGGAUAAUUAAAGUCUAAAAGGGCAAAAUAAGUUCAACUUUUCCAACUUUCAAGUCCUAUCAGAAAUUAGGCAAAAGCCAAGGAACAAAGGCCAAUAUGUACAAAACAUGAAGAGAACUAAACCCAGGGGUCAAUUUGAAAUUAAUUCAGGACCCAAUUGAAAGAAAAAAUCAAAUUAUUCGGGCUGUUAUGAAAUUACUUAUGGUUCAGGGGCCAAUUCGCGAAUUUCCAAACGUUUGCAAACAAAUGGUUCGCUGAAACUUUCUUCUUCAGUGUGACUCAGAGGAAAGUUUUUGCAACCCCUGAUGCUCCCACAUUUCGGCAAUUUUACACGGCAACAACACACCACACCAUCAUCCGACAUCAAAGACAGCAAAAUUAAUGAAAGAACCAACUCUAAAAUUCCUUGGUUUCCUUCCCCUUACUAACAAACUCCCAGGUUCUGGCCAGCUUUGAACUGGCCAGAGCCCCUCUUGAACGUAAAUAGAAAAAGGAUAAAAUCUCCUCUUUUUUGGUUCAAAAUUUCCAUUCGGGCAUCUUAUCAAACACUAAACGGGCAUGGAGAAUUUCAGCAAUUUCUCGCUCAAAUGAUGCAAAUCAGCGCCCAAAAUUUAUCAGAAACAAAUAUUUCAGUUCAAUCAACCCACAAAAAACAUGUAUGUUCUUAAAAUCCUGAACAAUCGACAUGAAAAUUUGCCAUAGCAGCCCACGGCAGACAUGCUUUGAAAGAAUACUGAAAUGUAAAGGAAAAGAGCAACUUACAGUGUUCUCUCGGUGAAGCUCCGCAAGCAGUAAUGGCAGAUUCCGGUGGUGGCAGCGGCAACAGCAACCAGUUGCGGGUUCCCCUGUUCCCUUGGACUCCCUUUGCUCUAUUUCUUUGCCGAAGCUUUUCCUUUUCCCUCCCCUUUUCUUUUUUUCCGUCUACGCUUUGGCUCACUCUCUCGUUUAGCCUACCCGAAGUUGUUUGCCGAAGACUUCCUCUCUGUUCUUCCUUCUAUCCAUUGCCUUUUCUUCCUUUUCCUUGUUUUUUUUUUCUUAGUUCCCCUGUUUUUCCCCCAGCCAAAGAUCUCUUUUUUUCCUCUGAUCCGCCGCCCUUUUUUCCUCUUUGCCACCAGAUUUCUUUUUGUUUCCCCCAAUUUCCUCACCAGCUCAAUCCCGAAGCCCCUUCUCGGUUGAUGGCCAGCCCCUUUUCCUUUUCUUGUUGCUCUAUUUUUCCCUUUUCCCUUGUUUUUGAUUUCAGUUGCAGCCCUCUCUGUUUUCCUUGGCUCUCUUUGUUCCUCCCUUUGCCGAGAAGCUCCUCCUCCAUUUUUCUUUUCACUUUCGUAAGCUGUCCGAAUACUCCCCCCGAUUUUCCAGAUUUUUCUGCUCUUGCUCUCCUUUUCUCUUGCCAAAACCCCUUCCCCUGUUUUUUUUCUUAGCCUUUUUCCCUUCACUCUUGUUCCUCCCUAUUUUUCCAAUCUCCUUGCCGAAGGCCUUUCUUGCUUUCUUUUUGCUUCGUUUUUCUGAUUCCACGAAGCUCCCUCUAUUAUUCCCUCGGGUCUACACCCACCCCCCUUCUCUCUACUUCUGUUUUCAUUUUAAAGGCACCCCAAAGAAACUAAACCUAAGAUGAAAGGCCAAGAUUUCAUCCUCCAAAUAGGUCCAUGUGUCUUUUAAUUGACUUUUCUCUUUUUUUUUCAAUUUUAUGCUGAAAUGUCUAGAAAUGAGGUUAGUAAAACAAAAAUAACAUGAAUAAUAAAUAUCGAUAAAGAUUAAAAAAUUAAAUUAAUUAAACUAAUAAAGUUAACAAUCAAAAAUUUGAUGUCUACACUUUGCCCCACACCUUUAGAUUGGUAAGAAGACAUGGACAGUAGUAGACGUAGUCAACAUUGUACUUGAGAGCGUAAGCAACCCCGAGGUCUUGGAGAUGACCAGGGAUCGGUGGUGAAAAAAAAAAUUGAGAGCUUAGGGUUGAAGUUGGGACCCAAUAUUUGAUUGCCAAAUUGAUAUAUUAAAGUUAUGAGACUUGGGUUAGUGAAAGGAAAUGUUUGAUAGAUUGAAUGAGCCUAACAAUUAAGGGACAUGAUAUAAUAUUUGGGAUGGAAGUUUGAGACUAUACAUAGACUAUCGAAACUUGAAUUAAGAACGAAUACCCUUUCGUCUCAUAUAGAUGAGAGUUUGAUCAACUGCAAGGGCCGUGGUAUUAUUCAAAUUGGAUUUAAAAUAGAAGCCAUUACUAGUUGAGAACCCCAGAAACUAAUGUACUCAAGAUCACUUUUAAUUUAAGACAUGGCACUUUGAAUUCACAACUACGCCUUUGGGUCAACUAAUGCACUAGCAGCAAUUAUGGACUUAAUGCAUCGAGAUUUUAAACCGUAUUUAGAUCAAUUUAUAGUGGCAUUCAUUGAUGACAUAUCAGUAUAUCCUAAAGUUCGAGAAGAUCAUGAAAAACACCUGAUGAUAGUUUUACAAAUCUCGAGAGAGCGCCAACUUUUCUUAAGUUUAAUAAAUGUGAGUUUGGUUGGAAGAAGUAGCCUUUCUAGGUAAUACAAUAUCUAAGGAAGGAAUUGUUAUAGACUCAGCUAAAGUGGAAGCUGUUUAAGAAGAAACGACCAGAAAAUCCUACCGAAAUUCGAAGUUCUUAGAGUUAGCCGAAUUUUACCUUUGGUUUAUUAAGGACUUGUCUAAGAUUGCAAGACUUGGUAAGUUAUUUGGGAUUUUAAAUGUGAGGAAAAAUUUUAAAAGUGAAAAGUGCUUAACCGAUGCACCUGUGUUAACCUUACCGAGCGGAGAAGGUAGUUUUGUAAUUUAUACAGAUGCUUCAAAGGAUGGUUUAUAAUGUGCAUUAUUAUUGCAUGAUAAGGUGAUUGUAUAUGCCUCUAGAAAGUUAAAAAAUCACGAGAGAAAUUAUCCAACUCAUGAUUUGGACUUAGCGGCUGCGAUAUUUACAUUAAAAAAGUGGAGACAUUACUUGUAUGGGAUAAACAUGAGACCGAUUAAGUUGCUCUAUAACUUGGAAGUUAAAACACCUAUUGGGGAAAAUCAAAGUUUGAUUGCUAGUUGGAUGAAUAGAAAUUGCGAAAUAUGGGUUGGAAAAUGUAAGUUAGUGAUUAAUCUGAUAGGCUUAACCACUAAGAGAAUGAUAUUGUCCUAAGUGUGAAUUUCGAGGACGAAAAUCUUUUUGAGGGAAGGAUGUGAGGACUCAAAAAAUUUUCUUAUUUUUAUCUUAUUUAAUUUUUUAUUCACCUGUUUUCUCCGAAUAAUUUAUUUCAACCGUUUUAAAUCCAUUUAUAUGGAACUAUGACUUACGUAUAUUUUUAAAACGUCCUGUUAGUAAAUUUAAUUUUCGGAAGCUCGUUUAGUAAGAUUUAGCAAAUACGCGUUUGGAGGCAUAUUCGAUCUGAGAGUACAGUGACCUUGGAGAUUUGAGGACUCAUGCGUUAGUCUUAAAAUAGUUAAUUUUAUGAUUAAUUACCCUAAUAUUAGUUACUUAUAUUAUCGUUACAAGAAUUUCUUUUAGGUUUCGCUUUAUCGCACGCGAAUUGGAAGUUCGCGUAUAUCGAGCUGGAGCGGUUAAUUGGAGAUUUAAGGAAUUUAUUCUAGACUACUAAGAGUAAAUAAUUAUAAUAUUAAAGGAAGUACAUUAGAGGUUUAGUACACAAGUGAAACAAACCCGAGCGAAAACGGACAAAAAAACCGCACGUGCGCGCACUAUGAAGAGUUGACUUUUGAAGGAAUUUUAACCACAAAUUCUUAAGCUUCUUCAAGAAGCUUCAUUGAUCAGCCUUCUCUCUCUCUCUCACUCACCAUAGCCAGCCAACUCCAAGCAAGGAAGAAGAAGAAAACUCCUUACCAUUUCACUCCAAAUCCUACUCCAAAUCACCUUAAACUUUGCAUCCAACCUCAAAAUUUCUUGGAGAUCCACUUAAGCUAGAAGAAAGGCAUCAUCUCACGGUUUUCUUGGGGCUUUAGAGGUGCAAAAAUUUCUGAUUUGUCUCAAGGAUUAGGAGGUAAUCAUCUAAUCUUUUAAUCUUGGCUUUAGUGAGUUAAUCUUGGCUAAAAAGCUUGUAGCUUCAUUAUUGAGGUUGUUAUUUGAAUUGGAAUGAUUGAUGUGGGCUCUAUGAAAUUCCACCUUGGAUGUAUGGGCUGUUAUGAUGAUAAUAAGUGUUGUUUGUGUUAAUUAUGUGUUAAAUAAGAUGAUAUUAGUUAGAAAAGUGAAAGGAAAACCGAAGGAACUUGCAUAGGAAGACCGGCUGAAAUCUGUCCUAUUUUUGCUGGGCCUUUGGUUCAAAUUUUUGUUGCUCAAAUGACUUUGAUACUGAUGUAGAUAUGUUGUAUAUGAGGUUAUGAAAGUUUCUACCAAAAAUCAUUUGAUUUGGUUGAGUAAAAGUUGAAAUUUCGAAAUUGUAGAAAUCUGGAAAAAUGUGUUCAGGUGGUCCGGACAGAGCAUCUUUGAACGAACAUAACUCUCUGCUCAAACGUCAGAAUUGAGUCCCUGCAUUCAAAACUAGACAUCCGUAGUUUUCUAACGGUGUAUCAUGCACCUUCUAAUUCGAACUGAGUCAUCUAUAGUGACUGAUCAAAGUCGGCUGCUCUGUUCUGUUAGUCCAACCGAGAGGAAGUUAAAAGCUGCGACUUGUAGCUCUAAUUUCUCUCAUUUGCGAACUGAAUUUCGAAACGAUUUCUUCUGAUGAAAUGUAGACUUGUGAAUCUAGUUUCCAACGCUACUAACCACGCUCAGUUUUAAGUUGUAUUGAGUGAGAUAUAGCCAAUUCCCGAAAUGUACCAAAUCUGGAAAACCCUAAUUUUGCUAGCGGAAUGGCCUAGUUUGACUUGGGACAUGUUGUUUCGAAAAUUUUGGUGUCAAACACCUACCAAAUAUAUAUUAGAUGUUUCCUGGACCUUAGUGUCACCAAUGAACCAAAUUGGAGUUGAUUUCAUUGGGCAAUAUAUUUGAAAAGGGAAAAGGAAACAAGAAGACAGAUUUGUCUUCGAAAUUUCUUGAACUUUGGUAGUUUUGUUAACUACCUUCCCAUACGAGUUUUUACGCGAAAUUUAACAGAGGAGUCGCCCUCAUACAAUUCUAAGACUGUUUUGAUAUACAAAUGAUAGGCCAAAGUUGUUCUUCAAAAUCUGAAAAAUUUACCAACAAUCUUCAUUUUUAGGCCAACUUUGGGCUACUAUAUUUGGCACUCAAAACUCUGAAUUUAGUUCCAUUUGUUGUGUUUGAAACUUUUUCUAGAACUCUUAUUGUAAUAUGAAUUUUAGAGACUAGUUCAUUUCCUGUGAAUUUUACCGAAUUUCUAAAAUUUGCCGAAAAACAAGACCAAAACUGUCUUGUGUGCUUAUAGCAGCCACUUUGGGCUGAAAUUUGAAUGUCUUCCAUUUAGAAUCCUUGUGAUACCCCAACUUUUAGGAUCAUCUUUUGUUUAGUCUUAAAGAGGAUAUUACGGUUUCUUUAGUUUAUUUUUAAUUUAAAAACAUUAUUUUGUUUUAAAGAAGAGACUAAAGUUAUUUCUUUCGGUUUGAUUUAAAACCUUGUUUUAUUUUAAAAGACUAGAAACCCUAAACGUCUAAUCAAAACCCUAGUUCCACUUGUGACUGACCGUUUUCUCAAAUUUCUCAUAUUUUAACCGAAACCCUAAAUUCAAUUUAUGGAAUUGUAAAAUCCCUCACGUUUUCCUUAAAAAUGCCCUUUUAUUUGGAAAUUAUUCAUUUAUAAUAGCCCUACUACUCCAUCACCCCACAAUAAGUGCAAAUGAACCUAGGAAGUAGGGUUUCACUUUUCGUUUUCAAGUUGGAGUGAAUUAGGGUUUUCACAUUUUUUUUCAUAGUGUGACUAUCUGGUACAGAGUGGGGAUCAAAUUUGGUGAUUUAGAGUGAGUUUUAGAUGAUAUUAAGAGUAUGAUUAGAAGUGAUAAUAAUAAGUUAGUGAAUUAUAAGUUAAAACCCUAGUAUACGCGAUUUAAGGAAAAACGGCUCGAACCGACGGGUAUCUAUCACUACCGAUUGAACCCACCACUUGACCACCACUUCCUUACCACCACAUACCCUUGAUAUUUUUGCAAAAUAUCCCCCCUCAUCUUCAGCCUUAUAACCGAAACAUGUGGCCCAAAAUGCAAGGAAAAGAAAGAGAAAUUUGGAUGGUUUUGGUGGUGCCAAGUGUCGGCUACCUAUGGCCUUAACCAAACCUUCUUGUCUUGUCUUCUUAUAUCCCAUUUCAGCUCAUUUUUCCCUAUUUUUUUUCUGUUUUGGCUGAGCUUAAGAGAGAGAGAGAGAGCAAGAGAAACACCUUCAAUCCAUCUUGAGUUUGAACCAUUUGAGUGAAAACAAGAAAAACUAAACCGAUUAAUCACUAGUUUGGAGCUUGGAAAGCUUAAGGAACCAAAGAUUUCAAGGAGAGGUGAAGGAUCAUCCUUGAAAGCUUGUGUCUUGAGGUAUAAUGGCUGAUCAACCAUUCUUUUUCCAUUAAUCAUGAUUAAGUUGGGUAUUAAUGUUGGUAUUGUGUUUGUGAUGCUUGUUUCAAGUGAUUUUGAUGAUUAGAGGAAUGACUUUUGAGUUGGGGUUUCUUGUGGAUUGGUGUUGUAUGAUGCAUAUAUGUGGUAUAUGAUCUUGUAAAGGUAGUAGUAGUGGUAGUUUCAAGGUGAACAUAUGAAUUAUAACUUGAAAUAACAAAAAUUCCAGAUUUCUGGAAAUCUUAGCUUCAGUUCUGUCCGGUUCUAUUUCAUCAUGUUAGAGGUCGAACUAGGCUUAGCACAAAACAUGAAAGUUGUAUAUAAUGACAUUUUAUGGUUGCCUGAAAAAUUUCAGCUCAAUCGGAUCAACGUAACCUGUGAAAAGAUGAAAAUACCCUGACUGCCCUAGGAGUAAAGUUAGUGAACAGUUUCGACAGUACACCAAGUUGGUUGCAUUUUUUCACCUGGAUACGUACUGAAAUAGCUUUUGACCAAAACAUGAAAGUUUUAGUACUUUGUCUUAGAUUUUCAACGCCUCCAAGAACGCCUUAAACGGACUUUGGUAGCUUGAGAUAUGUCCAUUUAAAGGUAGUGCGGUUAACUGGUCUAUUAGUUGGAAUUUGGUUCUGUGAAUUGGGAAUUUGACUGGGUUACACUGGAAUUUGGACUAAGUGAUCUUCAUGAAAAUUGUAGCACUUUGUCUUAGCUUCGAAACAGUAUAAGUUUCACCUCAAUCCGAUAAGCGUAUCCUCGGUUGUGUCCGUUACGAAAAAAUACGUCAAAUCUGUCUUUUGUUAAACCUCAUUUCUGCACUUGUUAUUAGCCUGAUUUUGUACUUGUAUUACCUUGAGCCUAUUGGACGGCUAAUGAAAUGAAAUUAUGUUGUGUGUAACUUUGGGUUUGAUUGAGGAAAAGAAUGAAACCAUAAAUGGCUGGAAAAUAGGUAAAUACAAAGGGCGUGCUGCCCAAAUUUACGCUCGAGGACUAGGUAGAUAUGCUUGCAACUUGAGUAAGGUUUGAGAGUGAAUACCACUUGAACCAUCUAGGAUAUUUGCACCUUCUUUUAUUGAGGUAUAUAAGAUAGAACUUGGCCGACCUUGUACCCUUGGAAAAAUGAAAUUUAUGACUAAUAGAUAUACUUUUCUCCAUUUCGUCGACCCAAAUGGUAUUUCAAAGUAUAAUUGUUUCCAAGUUUCAAAGUCUUAAGAGCGAGCAUGAAUUUCUUAGAAUUUGAUAAGUAUCUUGAAUAUUACUUAAACGAGUUGCAUUUACUUGAUUUUCUUGAAGCGAAACUCCUAUGUUUCGAACUCUAGAAAAUUUUACAUUCGUAAAUGAUAUUUUAUCUCAGAUUUGGACUCCAACCAAGGAGUUGGACCUGAACGUGUUUUUUGAGAGGCACUAGACUUUUGGUGAGUGCUUCCAAUUAUCUGGAUGAACUGGACACUUGUUUUAAUACUUAUCCAUGAAAAUACAUGAUACGAGAUUUGUUGAUCGGGCAAGGGUGUACUUUAUCCCACUUGCCCUAAUAUGAUAUCUACUUGUUUAUUGUUGCAAUUAACUUGAUAUAUUUGUACUUGAUUCGUAAGUGUGGAGCGGCAGCAUGUACCACACUCUAUCCGAGUGGGAGGUGCCUCUCAUUCCCGUCUCCAUACUUUUAUUUUAAUUCAAUCGAUUGGAGUGUUACCUCGUCGACUUGUUGGGGACCCCAAACCCCAUUGGCUAGUUAAUCGAGUCGAGCCGGCAAAGGCUUGGUCGAUUGGGUAACGAACCAUGGGUCUUUCGUUUUGUCGAGUGGAGUGAUAUCUCCUCGACUAAUCUGUAUACUCGAGUAUUACCACCCGUGUUUAUUGAGCAUUUUGGACCCAGUAGGGGGUUUGAUUGGUGGACGGAGAGUAGUGUAAGUGGUGUUCUACUGGAUUGGUUACUUACUUGAAGGUUGACGGAGUGUCAACUAUUACUUGAUCAAGCUCUGGUGAUGCAAAGGGGAAUUUGGCUCCUGAGAGCCAUCCGUAUCCUUAUACUUUGGAGUGAUUAUUGUUUAUUGGAUUAUUGUUUCUUUUGAAAAACUUCUACACUUGCUCACUUUGAGAUUUGCUACUUGAAGUAUUAUCGUUCACUUUUAUGAACUAUUCAUGCUCAUUACUUUGCUACGUGAUACUUGCACUUUUAAAUAAGGGUUAACUUGCUAUUUGGAACCUCACUGGGCUUUUAGCUCAUUCCACGCCAUUUGUUUUCCUUACAGGGGGUAUGAGCGAGACGUGAGACGUGUACAGACUAGCGUAGUCUAGUUGUUUUGAAUUUGUAAUUGUACUCGCUCUAGUCGCUCGAUUAGGGUUGAAUGUGCUGAGAAUUUAAAUCUUUUGAUGUAUUUGGGACUGUAUGGAUGAUUGAGAUAGAAAUGAAUGUAUUCGUAUGUUCCAAUCUUGGGAACCGUUAUUUUGUUUAUUAUCAAGGUUGCACCUUAUUUUCAUUGAUGCGAGUGAGUGAGUCCUGGCGAGGGUUGGGCAGGCGGUCCGUUAAACCCUAGGGUACGUCCAGGGGGAGGUGGGGCCGUCACAAUCCUAGAAAGGUAUUUUCUAGGAACUUUUAGUAUUUUGAAUCAAGAUUCCAACGUAUAAAGUUUUCCAAUUUUGGACCUAUUGAGUGCAAGUUCUGAUUUUUCUAAGUUGACGUGCAAAAACUGAAAUUUUUCGAAUCGAUGGGAAAUGAGUUUUGGAGACUCUUCCCUAUCCUUUGAUAUUGACUGACCAUUUUAAACUUGAUUUCAUGAAGGAAAUCAGUUUUUUCUUAUGUUAUUAAACCCCACUUUUGACCCUCGAUUCACGAGUAAUUAAGGCUCUCUUUUAUGAUAUUUUCUUAGUAUUAUACAAGUGUACAAUCUUCCUUGUUAAUUGGGGGUUUAUAAGUGAUAGUGUGUGAUCGUAAAUUAUUAUUUGCUCAGGCGCUAAAGGGGGCCUUCAAGAGGAUUUUGAAGCAGACGCCUAACGACUUACUUGCUCGUUCACUCACUCUUAUCUUGACUUGGUGAGUGUCAAGUGUGUGAAAAAUUGUUACAUGUUUAAUUGUUAUUAUUGAUUGAGUAUUUUGAAUAUGCCGAGUCAAGUGUGUACUUUAUCGCACUCAUUCUCGUUUAAGUGAAGUGUAUUUGAAUUGCUUGAAGUGAAUUGCUUAAAGUGAAUUGCUUGAAGUGAAAUAAGUGAAGUGUUGAAAUGGUUAAUUAUGUUAUGGCUGCAUAAGUCAUUGGAGUGAAUCUCCUCGACUCUUAUUGAUAAUGUUGGGGGACGCCCAAAUCUCAUCGGUCGACCUUGCGACUCGAGCCGGCAUGGGCUUGGUCGAGAAGCUUGGUGAGCGAUGGGAAAAGUGUAUAAACUUGAUCUAUUGGAGAGAUCUCGCUUGGCAUACUCGAAUAGUAUCGCCUUAUAUAAAAGAAGUGCGGGCCCGGAGCAGGGGAAGUAACGGUGAACGGGGAACGUGUAAGUGAAGUUCUACGGAUUAUAACCUACCCGAUUGACAGAGUGUCAACUCGUGGAGGUACUGGAUCGAGCAAGUGGAAAAUAGCUCCUGAGAGCUCCUGUAUCCUUAUCAAGUGUGUUUUAUUGUUAAAUUGUGAACUACUAGAAUGUCAUAGUUUUCAUUCGUGUUUAAGUGAUAUUGUUAUUUGAACUACGUGUUUUGCAUGUUUUCUUGGCCUCACGAGCGUUAACUCACCCCGUUAGAUUUGUUUUCCUUAACAGGAGCAGAAAUGGAAGGAAUUAUGGAGAAGCCAACUUGAUGGCUCUUUUGGUUGGGAUUUUGAUUGUAAUUGUUAAGACAACUUUUGGAGGUUGUAUACUUUGGAAAGUUGAUGUAUUUUGAAAAAUUGUGAUGUAAGAUUGAACAUUUGUGUAAGGAGGCGACUUUCUUCAUAUCUUCAACUUUUAUUAUUUAGUUAUUUACCUUAAGCUUAGAUUGGAUGGUAUCAAGUCCUGGCGAGAAUUGGGCAGGCGUCCCGCUGAUACCCUCGGAUUCGCCCUUGGGAGAAGUGGGGGCGUCACAUAUUUAGUGAUGCUAACAGUGCAAACAAUCCUAUGAAAAUCACCCUAAUUGACGUCCAAUUGAUGGAUUUAGAAAUGAAAAAUCCUAACCCUCAAUCUCUUAAAACCAAAUUUUAAGGUGUUUUCUUGAAUUUCAAUCAGUUAAAAAGGUUCUAAGAGGAUCAAAAGGUGUUAGAUUGAUGAUUUCUAGCAAAAACGGAGUAAAAAUGAAGAUUUAUGAAGUUUGUGUGUGUUUGUGUGGGAUACGUGUGGUGAAAGAGAGAAAGAAGAAGAAGAAAUAACCUACGUUUUCCUUCUUUAAAAUCUCUUGCCCGAAAACGCGGCUCGGAGCCUGCAUUUUUAGGUUGCGUUUUGUGCCUUAAAUUUAUAGAAUGUAAUAUGCGGGUUCAAGAAAACGUGACCUUUUUUAGCCUGCAUUUUUUGUGCAUUUUUUUCAAAAUGCAAUAUGAAGGCUCUAAAAACAUAGGUUGAUCCCACGUUUUCCUGAGCCAGCGUUUUCUUUUUUGCAGUUUUCUACAAAAAAAAAUGAACUUUUUAAAAUUAUACUCUUUACCUCAAUUACACAAAAUGCAUUUUAGAUCAUUCUUUUGGUAAAAUAAUCGAUGCACAUACAUGUAAAAUAAUCAAACAUGCAUUCUAACCCUCUUUAACAAAUAAAAAAUAUCAUUUACACAAAUUGAGUGGUGGAGUUCCUUGAUUAAAGUUUGCCAAUUUCAUCUCAAAUGGUUAUCUUUGCUUCCAUUUCCAAUUCCUAUAAAUGAUAAAGUAAUUUAAACAUAUGAUUUAAAAAUAAAAUUAACAUAAAUCACCAAAACAGUGGAUUGCCUCCUAAUUAGUGCUUUUGUUUACAGUCGUUGGCUUGACUCUUUUCUUUGAAGUUUCUUAGGUUGAAGAAGAAUAGCCUAAAGGACAACUAAGUCCUUUAGGGAUCAUUUCACCUGCCAAGUAGGGUUUCAACCUUUAUCCAUUGACCUUGAACCUCUCAUUUCUUGCAUUUAUGACCUCGACUACUCCAUAAGGGAAUACUUGAGUUAUUUCAAAUGGUACCAACCAUCUCGACUUCAGUUUUCCGGAAACAACCUAAGGCAUGAGUUAUAUAAAAACACUUAUUUGCCCGACCUUAAAUUGUUUAGGGAUAAUAUGCUUAUCAUGCCAAUAUUUGAUCUUCUCUUUCUAUAUCUUGGCAUUUUCAUAAGCAUUUAGUUGGUGUUCCUCCAAUGCACUCAAUUCAAGCAAUCUUUUACCAACUGCAAGAUUAAAAUCCAUGUUAAUUUCCUUAAUAGCCCAAUAUGCCUUAUGUUCAAUCUCUACAGGUAAAUAACAAACUUUUUCAUAUACUAAACGAUAUGGCGACAUCCCCAAGGGAGUCUUAAAUGCCGUCCGAUAUGCCCAUAGUGUGUCAUCGAGUUUUGUUUUUGGAAACAUUAGGAGAUUAUAUUGAUUAGCCAAAGUAACUCUACAAAAGUAUGGGCAAAGGCCCAACUACGCUAUACGUCGUGUACAAAGACACUAAGGAAAUCAGUGUUCCUCAUCCAAUGGAAUGUCUACAACAUAUGAACUAAUCUGUCUACUUCUAUCUAUUCGUUCAUCUUGGAGCAGAUAAAAUGAGCAUUGCAUAAACAUUGAGCUUAGGCUAUUGAUCUCCUGACCCUUUUAUGUGACCAAUGUUGUGCUCUUGCUUUCGCCAUUGCUAGUUUAAAUGCUUUUCCAUAAUCCAGUAGGCAAUGUCUGACGCUCCUUUCUCUCAUGGCCCAUACAGCUUUCUCCUGGCCAGUGAUAUCAGUUGCAAUCACUCCAAUCCCUACCUCCUCCACUUCUUUCCUGUUAGCUACAGCUACUUCUAUAUUGAUGCACUCCUCCUCACUUAUGUUUAGUCCUAGCUCGUCUGAAGGUCCAGCAGUUUCUAAAAUAAUCAAACUCCUAUUCCCUUCUAUAGCCAUCAAGUGUUCCAUCCAUUUUUGCAUUGCCUUUUGUACCACCUGUAACGGUUGCUUUUCUUCUCCCUUGAACACUCUUUCAUUUCUUGCUUUCUACAGCUGCCACAAGAUAUUGGCCCUAAGGCCUAUAUGCUUCAUCCCUUCCUGUCUAUAUCUUGCUCCUACUAAGGCACUCCACAGUCUCCUAAAACUGCCUCUUUGAUCAGCUAUCCCAUCCCAUUGUGCAGGUGAAAUAUUCCACACUUGUUCUACUUUCUUGCAUUGGAAUAGUAAGUGAUCCACGGUUUCUAUUUCUUCUCCAUAGCCUCUACAAAUGGGGUCUCCAAUCUUUGUUUUGUCAAAGAUUAACUCUCUAAUUGGUAAAGCAUUAUUCAUGCAUUUCUAGAUAAAGACUUUUAGUUUUUGUUUGACAUUCAAUUUCCAUAUCUACUUCCACACCUGCCUGCUACCAUGGCUUCCGCUUGGAUUUUCUUCCCUUCUACUGCCUCUACUUUCCUAAAUUUGCUUUUUGUUCAGUUCUUUGUAGGUAGAUCUCACUGUGUAUUGUCCACACCCACUAUGGACCUAGAAGUUGCUAUUCUCUUUCCUUGUCAGACUUAUAGGAAUCUUCAGUAUCUUUGUUGUGUCUUCACUAUUGAAAGUCCUGAACACCAAUAGUUUGUCCCAUCUGAAGUUGGAUAUUAAAUGAUCCACUAUACUAAGGUUACAGUUUUGUGACUUAACUGUUGUUGGCUUCCCCUGUGGAGUAUCUGGUAUCUAAUUAUCGUCCCAUAUCCUUUUCUCCUCCUAUUUCCUAUUUUCCUUUGUAUGCCUUCUUCCACCUUUUCUCUUGCUCCCAUAAUGCUCUGCUAGAUCCAUGAGGAUGUUUUAGGGACUUUGCAUCUGAGGAUUGAUUCAUCGGGGUGGUAUUUGGCUUUGAGCACCUUACUAAUAAGUUUGGUCUAGUUAACAAUCUCCACACCUGUUUCUCCAAUAGUGCUUUGUUGAAUCUCUACAAAUCCUUAAAUUCCAGUCCUCUACUUCCCUUAUCCUGUGUCAAUUUCUUCCAUGAACACCAGUGAAGUUUCCUUUUACCUUCUGUCUCCCCUCACCAAUACCUAGACAUCAUGGAGCUAAUGUCUUUACAUAGCUUGGAGGACAAUUUAAAGCAUGACAUAGUAUAAGUAGCCAUUGCCAUUGUCACUACUUUGAGUAACACCUCCUUGCCUGCAGCACUCAAAAAUUUGUUCUUCCAGGAAUUGAUUCUUUUCUAGCAAUUCUUCUUCACAAACCCAAAUACUUUUUCCUUUGUUCUGGUAAUCACUAUUGGGAGGCCCAAGUACUUCCCUUGGCUAACUUUUUGUAUUUUCCCAAGCAUCUUGCAUUUCUCAUCAUUUUUACCAAUGGACAUGUUUUUGCUAAAGAAGACGGAGGACUUCUCUAUGUUGAUCUUUUGACCUGAACUUUCCUUAUACAUCUUCAGCAAAUGCAUUAACUCCUUGACUUGAUUGGGUUCAGCUUUACAAAAUAUUAAAGAAUCAUCUGCAAAAAACAAGUGGGUGAUUGAUGGUCCUCUUUUGCUGAUUUUCAUACCAGUGAUCUUCUUGUUUCCUUCAGCUUGUUUGAGUAGAUUAGACAUUCCUUCUGAGCAUAAAAGGAAGAGAUAAGGUGACAGUGGAUCACCUUGUCUUAUACCUCUUUUUGGAGUGACAAAACCUCUGUAAUCCCCAUUGAUAUUGAAGGAGUAUGUAACUAUGGAAAUACAGCUAUCCACUUGUUGUAAAAACCCAUUUUCUUCAUUACAACCUCCAAGAACCUCUAUUCCACUCUGUCGUACGUUUUAGACAUAUCCAGCUCUAAAGCAAUAAAUCCUGCAUUUCCUUGCCUUUUUUUUUCAGAUGGUGCAAAAAUUCAUGUGAUAGAAUCACAUUGUCUAGUAUUUGCCUUCUUGGUACAAAAGUAGCUUGAUUUUUGCUUAUGCAAAGGUCCAAAACAUUUUUUAGUCUAUUAGCAAGAAUUUUAGAAAACACUUUGUAAGUCACAUUGCAAAGACUGAUAGGUCUGCAUUGCUUCAGAUCAGUGGGAUUAUCAACUUUAGGAAUGAGAGAAAUGACUGUGUUGUUUAUAGUUUUAAGCAUAAGGGUGGAAUGGAAAAAACUUUUGAUAGCAUUUACCAUAUCACCUUUAAUGAGGUACCAGAGCUUUUGGAAAAAAAGGGGGACAUUCCAUCUAGUCCUGGUGCUUUAUUAGGGUUCAUUGAGAACAAGGCUUUCUUAACUUGUUUUUCCUCUACAGCUUUGGUUAAGUUGUUAUUUAUUUGGUCAGUGAUUGAGUGUGGAAUUCCAUCCAGUAUUUCCUCCAAACACUACACCCCAGGACUAGUGAAUAGCUUUUGAUAAUACUCCUCAAUUUCAGCCCCUAGUUCCUGUUCAUUUUUGGUCCAUGUCCCAUCUUCCCAUUGUAUAUUCAGUAUCCUGUUACUUUUCCUUCUACCUUUGACACAAGCAUGAAAGUACUGAAUAUUUAUGUCAUCGAGUUUGCUUGCCCAAUCUUUUCGUGAUUUGUUCAUCAUUUUCUCCAAAAUGAGUCUAAUUUCAUGAUUUGCUAAUUCCGCUUGUCCGUUGACUUGAGGAUGGUAUUGAAGUAAAGUCUUGUACCUACAACCAUACUUGAGCAAUAAGAAAUCAAGUUGCUUAUUAUAAAAUAUUUUUCCUCAUCACUCACUACGACUCUAGGUAUGCCAAACCUACUAAAAUAUUCUUUUUGAGAAAUCUAAGUACAACUUUAGUAUCGCUAGUAGGUGAAACAAUUGCCUCCACCCAUUUAGAAACAUAAUCUACGACUUCUAAAAUGUAUUUAUUGUUAAAAGAACUAAAAAAUUGGUCCCAUAAAAUCCAUACACCACAUAUCAAACAACUCAACUUCUAAGAAAAUAGGUAGGGGCAUUUUAUUUUUUCUAGAAAUAUUUUCGAUUCUUUGACAAGCAUCAUAACUUUUUACAUAUUCUAUAGUAUCACGGUACAUAGUUGGCCAAUAAAACCCCGAUUGUUAUACCUUUGCUACAUUCUUUGAAGUACUAAAAUGACCACCCAUUUCUAGGUUAUGACAAUGAUAUAAAACAUCACGUACCUCAUUUUCAGGAAUACAUCUAUGUACCAUACCAUCGGCACAAUGCUUAUAGAGCAACGGUUCCUCCCAAAAGUAACUUUUAACAUCAUACAAGAAUUUCUUCUUUUGGUGAUAAUUUAAAUCCUUUGACAUUAUUCCACUUACCAAAUAAUUAGUGAAAUCUGCAUACCAUGGAGACUUAGCAAGUUUUAGGAUAAAUUCAUUCGAAAAAUUCUCUUUAAUUAGAACUCGAUCGUCAGCAGGGAUGUACUCGAGUCACGAAAGGUGGUCAGCAACAAAGUUUUCUGAUCCAUUUUUAUCCUUUAUUUCUACAUCGAAUUCCUACAAUAAGAGAAUCCAUUGGAUUAAACGGGGUUUUGCAUUUUUUUUAUAAAACAAAUAUUUAAGAGCCGAAUGGUCUGUGUAAAUGAUAACUUUAGAUACUAAUAAAUAGAAUCUAAAUUUAUCCAAUACAAAUAUCACCGCCAAUAGUUCUUUUUUCGUGGUUGUAUAAUUAAGUUGUGCUUCAUUAAGCAAUUUGCUCGCAUAAUAAAUCACGUGCAACCUUUCUUCCCAUCUUUGCCCUAGAACGGCGCCUAUCACGUAAUCACUUGCAUCACACAUUAAUUCAAAUGGUAGCGAUUAAUCUAGUGAAAUAAUAAUAGGUGCUAAAGUUAACUCCUUCUUCAACCUAUCAAAAGCAAUCAAACAUUUAUCAUCAAAAUGAAACGAGAUAUCCUUGCAUAAUAAAUCAUAUAAUAACUUAGAUAUCUUGAAAAAAAUUCUUAAUAAAACAUCUAUAAAAACCCACGUAUCCAAAAAAGCUACUGAUCCCCUUGAUAUUGUUUGGAGGUGGCAUCUUCUCGAUUACUUCUAUCUUUGCCUUGUCCACCUCAAUUUCUUUAUAGUAAAUCUUAUGCCUUAAAACAAUUCCUUUUCGAACCAUGAAAUGGCACUUUUUCCAAAUGAGAACUAAAUUGGUUUCUUCGCAUCUCUGCAAAAUUAAGUCCAAAUUAUGAAGACAAUUAUCAAAUGAAGAGCCAAACAUAGAAAAAUCAUCCAUAAAUAUCUCCAUAAUUUUCUCAAUAUAAUCAGAAAAAAUUGCCAUCAUGCAUCAUUGAUGUGAGGACCCGUAAAUUUCCCUAAUUUUAUAUUAUUUAUUUUAUUUCCUCGCCUGCAUUUCUCUUCAUUAUACCCCACUAUUUCAAUUUUUCCAGAGAUUUUAUAAGUGAAUAGAGUUUUUAAAAUAUUUUUCUAGUAUAAGUUAGUUCAUGAGAUUUUAGAAGUGUAUAUUAGACGUGGGACCCGCUAGUGCGGUAAGUGCGAUAAAAUUCGGCCAAUUAGGUUAAGUUUUGUAUAUAGGGAUUAAUUUACUAGGUGUUAAGAGAUAAUUAGAGGUUGCUUAGAUGGUUAAUCUUGGAGAGACAAAAGGAUAAGUUUAAACCUUAAAGGUGCUAGGUGUCGCGCUACGGUUGGUUCUUGGAUUUUGACCACUAUUCACUAACUUUACUAAAACCCAAAAUUGGCUAAAAUCAUCUUCAUUUCCUUCUCUUUUGGCCGAGCAUCUUGGAGAGAAAAAGAAAGAAAGCUUCCAACUUGUUUCUUCAUUUCUUGCUUGAAUCUUGCAAACCUACCGUUUAAAUUCCAAAUCCCUCCACAAAAGUAAGUUGAUAAGCUAGUUUAAGGCCUUUAGUGGAGCCAUUUGUGAAGACCAAGCUCUAGCUAUCUAGUUUCUUGGAGUUGCCAAGGUGAGUUUUCAAGAUAUCUUCCCUUUCAUGAUAAUAAUGAUCAAUUAAGGGUUUUUAGUGGUGAAGCAUGUUAUUUUGUGGAUUAUUUCAUAAGUUAUGGUUGAGUUGUCUAAUUUUCCUAUUUAUUGCGGUUUUUUCUAUUUUAAAAUAUAAAUUAUUGUUUAGUCAUGGAUUGAUGGGUUGUUAUAGUAUAAAAUGAAGUUGGUAUAUGUUGGAUAUGAUUGGUUGCGGAAAAUUUCUGGUUUGGUGCGGAAAUUCCAGUUUAGGGUUUCAAUUUUCCCUGUUCUGUCCGAUUUUAUUUGAGCAUGUUAGAGGCCGAAUCAGGCUUAGGUUAAAAUAUAAAAGUUGUAGGAAAUGAUGUUUUAUAGCUUCCUAUAAAAUUUCAGCCCAAUCCGACCUCUGUAACCUAUCAAAAGACAGAAUUACCCCUGCUGCCCUGUUUCUGUCAAAAAUGAUAAUCAGCCUCUGUAAGUGGUUAGUUUGACCAGGAAUAUUACUGAAUUGAUUGUCAUUGUCUUCUGAAGAAUUAUAUCUUUGUAUCUUAGCUUUCAAAUGGCUUUGGAAUUACCUGAAUCGGAGUUGUGUGUGCUGAGAUAUCCUUGAAUGAAUCAGGACUGCUAGUUGAAUUUCACAGUGAGUUUUGAACUGGAAAAUCUGGUGUUGUUUUGGUAAAUUUGACCUAGUUAGGGUGAGAAUUGGACUAAGUAGUCUUCAUCAAAGUUAUAUCCCUCUAUCUUAGCUUCGAAACGGUAUAAAUUUCACUUCAAUCCAAUAAGUGUAGUUUCGGUUAUGUCCGAUACGCUAAGUAGAGGUGAAUCUGCCUUUUUGGUUUCCUAGCUUAAAGCUCAUUUCCGGUCAUUUUCCUAGCUAAAUCUUGUACUUGAAUGACUUUGAGCCAAUUGAACGGCUGUUGUGAUGAAUUUGUAUUGUGUAUGACUUUGGGAUUGAUUGAGGAAAAUAAUGAAGUCAUAAGUGACUGGAAAAUAGGUAAAUACAGAGGGCAUGCUGCCCAAAAUUUUAGGGCUACGCGAUUCCUUCAAUUGAGUUGAUCUUAGUAAAAAUGAAGGGUUUUGAGGGUUGUUUGUAACCCUAGGACCAACUGUUAUCUUUUUACUCAAAAAUCAUAAUUUUAUUCUUCUGUACUAGUACUUAACCUGGAAAGGCGUACGACAUGUAGUCGAGCCUCAUUUAUGCAUUCCAUUUACUUGGUUUGUGAAUGUGUGAACUAUAAUUGUUUUAUCUUGAUUAUUUUAGGGUUUCUUGCCGAGUAAAGCCACUUUGGGUAAAAAACUUUUGAAGUAUCUGUACUGGAACCGGUGAGUGUACCACUCCCCUCAUUUGUUACUUAACUUGAUUUCUGCACUUGCAAUCUGUGAUCUGAAUGACUGUACUAUCUGCUUAUUCUGUUUGAGACGAGGGUGUUCUUUAUCACACUUGUUCUCUUGUCUGUCUGUAUGCCUAUUUACUGUGUAUAAUCUGUUAUCUGUAUCUGAGACUGUUCGGACGUCGUUUGGAGGCUGGUAUCCAACGACCUUUCUGUGACCUCUGAGCUCAACACCUGUGGCUAGUUACUCGAGUCAAGCCGGCAAGGGCCUGGUCGAUUAGAUAACAAACCACAGUAGUCUGUUCUAGGAAUCUUUGGGUAUUGAGACCCUUGAUUCCGGUAUACUCGAGUAUUACUAUUACUGUUCCUGAAUGGAGUUCGGGCCCGGUAGGGGUAUGUUUGGUGGACAGAAAUUGGUGUAAAGUGGGGUCUACGGAUAUGUUGGUUCUAUUUACGUUGACGGAGAGUCAACAGGUUCGAAUCAAGUACUGCAAAUGGAAAUCUGGCUCCUGAGAACCACUUGUAUCAUUUCCCUUUGAAUCACUGUGUCUAAAUGCUUUCCUUUAUAUCUGGUAUAUGUAUCUGAUUGAUUAAACAUGAAAGGCCAUGAUUUUACCCCUAUAUGUUUGGUACCUCAUUGAACAUAAACUCACCCCUUUCUGUUGCCUUUGUUUUCCUUACAAGGGACAAACUUGAAAAUCACGGUUUUGGAAGAAAAGGGUCAAGCUAGUAUAUAUGUCAUGUUGUUAAGUUUUUUUGAAAACGAAGCCGUAAUUGUAUUUUAUGUAGUAUGAAUACCUCGGAUUGCACUGUAUGUUAAUUUGUUCAAGACUCAAAUGUAAAUAUAUGUAUAAGUGUUUAACCUUGUCUAUUAAAUGUAUUCCGUUGAGACUAUGAUUUUAUGGUUUGGUAAGCAUGUUCUCACCUUAGUGGUUCCCGAUUGUUUAUUUUCUUUGGGUCCUAUCGCGCGUACUACAUUGGGUUUGUGUGAAUCGACUCCGUAGUCCUGGCGAGAGCUGGGCAGGCGGUCCGCCGAACCCUUUGGUUCGCCUUAGGGUGAAGUGGGGCUAUCACAAUUGAAAUGUGGCGGAGGCAUUACAAAGGUCAAAUGGCAUCCUUCUAAAUGUAAAAGUGCCAUAGGACAUGUGAAUGUCAUUUUCUCUUGAUCCUCGGGCACUAUAACUAUUUGAUUAUAACCUGAAAAUUCAUCAAAAAAAUAAUAAUAUUCAUAUCCAGCUAUACACUCUAAUAAUUAAUCAAGAAAAGGUAAAAGAAAGUGAUCUUUUCUAGUAACCGCAUUAAGCUUUCUAUAAUUGAUCCACACUCUCCAUCCUACUAUAAGUCUAGAAGGAAUAAGUUCAUCAUUUUUUUCUUUGACUAUGGUAGUUUCACCUUUACUUGGGACAACAUGAAUUGAACUAAUCCAUGAACUAUUAGAGAUAGGAAAGAUUAUACCUGCAGCAAGUCAUUUGAUAAUUUUUAAUCUUACCACCUUUUUCAUAUUUGGAUUGAACCUUCUUUGCAACUCUACCACCAGUUUGCAAUUGUCCUCCAAGAGAAUGCAGUGCAUGCACCCAUAAGUUUCAUCUACUAUUUAGAUUUAGAAAUUUAGCUACUCAUAAAGUAAGAAAGAACAUAAUUUCAUUGCAUGAACACAUAUUGAAUCACAAGUAAAGAAAAAGAUAGAGAAAGCUGAGCUAAGGAGAUGAACAAACUCCCAAAUCUUCUAUUGUUUCAUCAAAAUGAGUCAUACAAUGAAUUCUCCAAGAGUUUCUUACAAGUUCCUAGCUACAUAGAAUAAAAAAAAAACUAAAACUAAGCUCCUGAAUUAAAAUCUGAUAAUAACUCCCUCUAUUUUAGUCUCUUUAAUGAUUUUUACAUAUACAGUGUUAAAAGAGUCAAAAAAUGACAAAUAAAAUGACAUAAAGCUUCCUUUUCUCUUCCAUAAAGAUUCUUGAGCAUGUGCAGCCAAAAUUCUAUGCUAAAAUUGAGCUGGAAAGAAGUGAAACUGAGCAAGUUACGAAACAAGUUGCAAAGAAACAUGGGACAAUACGCAACUUAUAAAUACGUGACCUGAGCCCACGUAUUUAGAGGAUGUGUUUUAGUUCUGGUGCAUUUUCUUGCUUCUUUUCUGCUCUAGUUCACCUCUAAAAUCACAUGUAAGAGAUUCAUGUCGUUGUUCAUGCUUUCACCGAUAAUACUUGCAUGAUGUGUCCUAUUCUCUUUCCAAUUUGUCGUUGAAUCAUGCGCUAAUGGAGUUUAAGUGAUAUCGUUUCGAUCCAACAUUCAUAUCUUGUCUCAACUUCUACAAUUAUAACAAAAAUUUGCACAUUAAUCUGCUCAAAUGAAACUCGCAAAAUUGAGAGAUUUAGAGAGCAAGUUACACCGUAAAAGAUCCUAUUUUACACCAAAAAUAAACAAAUAAUGCUACUAAUAACCAUAUAUUAUAAACACUUAUCAGUUAGCAUAAGCAUCGAGGCAAUACCUAAGCUUCCAAACAAGUAUUCUAUCCACAUGAACUAGAUCACGUGAUGCUUCAUACCAUGUGCAUAGAUAACAGAGUUGCUUUGGAUAACAUGUAUGCUAGAACAAACAACUUCAUGCAAACAAAUGAUUUAAACACAUUCCAACUAGAGUUAAUAGGGACAAUACAAGGACAAACAUCAUGAUCACAUGACUUAAGGAAAACAAACAACACGUAAGAACUCAAAACAAGACUCGCACAACUAAGACAACUGCAAUUCACAAAAUGACUCAAAUCAUUACUAAAAUGAUAAACAUAAUUAAAAUAAGUAGCUCUUCAAACUUUAUUAACUCAAGAUGAUUAUCUACAUUACACACAUAGACAACCCUAAAGACAAUUCCAAUUAACUCAAGAGUUUCACAAUGUGUCAACAAAUCAAGAAACAUAUCCUUUGGGAUGCACAAAGAACACUCAUUCAUAUCAUCAAAAUAAGAAUUAAAAGCAUACAAAGACAUAUUAGGAAAAAACCAUGCCUCCAUAGGCAAAUCAAACUUCUCGAUUUCACUAUGAUAACUACGAAUUCUAGAUGAAAAACUUACCUUGUCAAUGGCUAAUUGAACAAUAAUAAAUUUACCAUGUGUAAUCGAUUCAAUGAGCCAUUGAUUAGUGACAUCCACAAGUGAAUUGGUUGCCAUAUCACCAGGAUCAAACACAACAUGAUUAAUUACAUGUUUCAGGACUAAUCAAUUCUUUAACCAUUGAACAUGUAUCCAUGGACAUUGAUACACACACUCUUUUAUCCACUCCUAGCAUAUGAAACACUGCAAAAUCUAUAUCCAAAACAAGACAAUCAGCACUUAGCGUUCAAUCAAAAUUAGAUAAUAAAGACAUACUAGCUUGAUUGAACCUAAUCAAUGAAAACAAUGUAGUUGUAAGCUUCCUCCUUUAAAGACUUUCAUCCCCUUUGGUAGGUAAGACGGUAGAUGUAUUGCAAUUCUCCACAAAUAGAUGGUAAAGAUACGCAACAUGGCAAUUAAUCCAUUAACCUGGCAAAAAUCAACAAAUACACUAAACAAAAUAAGAUAAGGAUAAUUAAACACUCUGGAUUACACCUCAUCAUUCCACUUUCCUUUUUUUAUGGGUUCACUCACUUUACUUAUGCCCCAUUCUGGAUUUCUCCUUGUUGUCACUUCCCCCACUCCCAUUCUCUAUCCUUGGUAUCCUGUUACGCCUUGUAUAAUAAAUCCAUUAGUGCUAUGUUUGGCGGUAUUCUCAUAUCAUAGCCACGUGCUAGAGAUAGUUGGAGAAGUUACAGCUCAACCGACUAGAGUAGCAAGUAGUUAUUCUGUUAGAGGAAGUGACUAGAAGCUGGAUAAAUAAGCUACUCCCGGGUACUACGGAUUCAUUUUGGAAGAUGAAAUCAAUAAACCUUUCUCAUUCUCCCUAAUUUCUGACUUUUCUCUCUUCCCUAAACCCUACCUCAAUUCUUUUCUUCAUUCUGGAAUCGGGUCAUAACAUUUGGUAUCAGAGCUACUGAUCCUCGGAUUCAAUAGCUUUUGAUUGCCCAUCAUGGCCGAAGGUACAAGAUUCAAAGCUCUGGAGGAACAGAUCAAAUGUCAAGAAAACAAACUGCAGGAAUUCAUUGAAGAUUCUCUUCGGAAUAGGAAGCAUACUGAUGAACGACUGGAGACUAUCACUGCAGAAUUGAAGACCCUAGUAGCAACUGUGUCUACUCAAUAUGGCAAUCUCAUGCGAACCAUCAAUGGAGAUAAGGGAAUUUUGGGUCCCAGCAGUAACGCAGAGAAGUCUCCAAAUCGAUCGGGUAAUCAGAACGUAAUUUGGUUGGACGAGCCUAAUCAAGAACGUGGACUAAGGAAGAAUUUUCAUGCCCCUGUCCCUAAGGUGGAAUUUCCUCUGUUCAAAGGGGAAAAUCCCCGAGAAUGGCUGAGGAAAUGUAUCAAAUAUUUUCAGAUAUAUCAUGUGGCAGAGGAACAAUGGUUCGAUGUGAUAGAAAUGCAUUUAGAGGAUAAGGCAGAUAUAUGGUUUCAAGGGUUAAAGAUGGGCCUAAGUAAGCUUUCUUGGCCUGAGUUUGAAGAAUGACUCAUAAAGAGAUUUGGAGAAGUGGGACAAGAUGAUGCAGUAGAAGAGUUCAGUAAAUUGCAGCAAACCUCCACCAUUUUAGCGUAUCAGGAGAAAUUCGAAGAGCUCAAGGCAAGAGUUUUGAUCAAGACCCCAGGACUUACAGAACCUUUCUUUAUCUCUUGCUUCUUGAGUGGGUUAUCUGAAGAGCUCAAGAUAUUCGUCAAAAUGCACAAGCCUCGAACUCUGUUAGAUGCCUUUGAGACAGUGAGAAUGCAGGAAAAGGCACUUGAAGCAUUCACCAAGAAACAGAAGAUGGCUCCCAAGAGCUUUGCUCUGCCUUCACCUAGAGUUAAUCAUGCUCUUGAAGGAGCCGAGAGUAGUAAAAGAGGGGGAUCUCCUAUGUUCCAGAAAAUAUCCCCAUCAGAAUUGCAGUACAGAAAGGCCAAUAAUAUGUGCUUCAAAUGUGGGGAUAGAUAUGGGCCCGGGCAUGUAUGUAGUAGGAAGGGAAUUCACAUGUUACUCGUUGAUGAUGAAGACAAAGGGAAAUUGGAGGAAUCAAUCUUGACCGAAGGGGAAGUGAUAGAAUAUAGUGGGGCCAGUAGUCAUAAAGAUGUAGAAUUUUUCAUCCACUCUAUGACUGGUGAACUGCUGCAGGGCACUAUCAAACUGAAGGGAAAAUUUAAUGGGAAACAGCUCUCAAUAUUUUUGGAUGGAGGAAGUUCUUACACUUUUGUUAAAGCUUCAGUGUUCGAGGAAAAUCCUCAAUUAGUAGUACCAAGGAAACUGUUCGCAGUCAAGGUGGCUAAUGGGCAGGUGCUACAGUGUAAUAACUGGGUUCCACGGAUGACCUGGGAAAUGCAAGGGCAUACAUUCACUCAUGAUGUAUAUGUGCUUGCAAUUGAGCCGUAUGAUAUGGUAUUGGGGGUCGAUUGGAUGAGAGAGCACAGUCCUAUAACUUUUGAUUUCAAGCAUCUGCAAUUCUCCUUUAAUCAGGAAGGGCAGGAA